rnacentral:lncRNA from 1 species
UCGACAUUGCUGCUGAUUUCAUAGCCUAUUGGCUUGGAAUAAUCCAAGAAGCAGCCGAAAAAACAUUAGUCACCAAAGACAAGUUUCCAAAACUCACCGAAUGGGCUGAUGACUUUGUUAACCUUGAAGUCAUCAAUCAAGUCUUACCUCCAAGAGAACGCCUGCUUGCAUUUUUCAAGAAACGCUUUGGUAAGGCAUAAUGAUAAGUGGCAUUUACAAAUAAUAAAUCUAGUCGUUUUUUCGGUUAUGUACUUUUAUGAAGUUGAAGUUUUUGUCUAUAACAUCAAUCGAUGUUGCAAGAAAAAGCUCUUUGUGUUUGUGAAAGUUAAAGUUUCUGUAACAGUCAUGGAUCGAUGUUGCAAUAAGCGGUUCUUAUGGUAAUGAUGCUGCUGUAAUAUGUAGUUUGUGGCAUGAGUAUAUUCUGUAUGUUGUUGUAUGCAACGUUUCUUAUUUGUUUUUAAUUGAAUGUGAGCUCAUGAAGAAGAUAUCUUCCACGACUAGAUGAUGCCCAUGGGUUGUUGGCUUGUUUCUUCUUCCAUGUGAAAAGGACUAUCUACUAUAUCAAAUCAAAUUAAUGAGAGUAAAUAACAGAAAUCAAAUUUUGUGGUUUGAGAAAAAGAAACUAGUGAAUUUAUACAUUGCACAUCAUAAAACUCUAAUAACAAAUUAUCGAGUUGGUUAAACAGUUAAAAUAACGUAUUCCAAAAAUUAAAUAACAUAAAAACAGAAAGCGNUUUAGGCUAGUUUUAUAAUAUUCGUCGUUUCAAAAUAAAAAAAAAAAAAAAAAAAAAGCGUAAAAAAAAAAAAAAAAAAAAAAACAUAAAUGAAGCAACAUUACAUAAACAAAAUUUUAAAAAAUUAAAACAAAAUUUGCAAAAAUAGUCAUUGUGGUUGUCAAAAUGCUGUGUUUUUUUGUCCAAAAAUAUUUGGUGAAGCACCAGCACUCUAAUUUAUUUUGGAUAUCUUGUACGUUUUUGGUCCAAAAAAAAAUUAAUUUUAAUAAUUUGGUUGUUAACUUUUCUUUAAAAUGACAUUUUACCCUAAUUGAUCAUUUCUGCAACCAAAAAAUUAAUUUUAAUAAUUUGGUUGUUACUUAACUUUUCUUUAAAAUGACAUUUUACCAUAAUUGAUCAUUUCUGCAACCAAACUAUAAGAACAAUUUAUGCAUAUCUAUUUUUGGAUUUUAUUCAAAUAUUAUAUAUUUAUUCUUUAAAAUAAAUUUUUAAUUACUUUUUAUUCGAUUAAUUUUUUUUAUAUUAUUAAUGACAAAAUUGCAAAAAUUGUUCAUAUGUCUAUCAAAAUUAUGAGAGAUAUGGCGAUUUCUAGCGUAAGAAUCUGCAGAUCACCGACAGACGAUGCUGGCGGAUGGUGGUGNNNNNNNNNNNNNNNNNNNNNNNNNNNNNNNNNNNNNNNNNNNNNNNNNNNNNNNNNNNNNNNNNNNNNNNNNNNNNNNNNNNNNNNNNNNNNNNNNNNNNNNNNNNNNNNNNNNNNNNNNNNNNNNNNNNNNNNNNNNNNNNNNNNNNNNNNNNNNNNNNNNNNNNNNNNNNNNNNNNNNNNNNNNNNNNNNNNNNNNNNNNNNNNNNNNNNNNNNNNNNNNNNNNNNNNNNNNNNNNNNNNNNNNNNNNNNUUAUUUUAUUGGAUUAUUAAUUUCAUUUAAUUAUUUCUUUUUUUAAUUUCAUUUUUAAUGAAAUAAAUCUUUUUUAUUGGAUUAAUAUAUAUUAAUAAAUAUUAUUUUUAAUUUAUAAUAUUCAUAUAUUAAUAAAUAUCAAUUUAUUGGAUUUUUGAUUUUUUUGAACUACUAUAUAUUAAUAAAUAUUAUUUUUAAUAUAUAACAUUUAUUUACGAAAAAACAUCAUAAAUGGUCCUUAUGGUUUUCCAAAAUCUGAAGUUUAGUCCCUAUUGUUUAAAAACCUCAUAGAUGGUCCCUGUGUUUUCAAAACUUUUGAUGUUUGGUCCUUUUUGCUAACUCCGUUAAGUUUGUCCGUUAACUGAAGGGUAUUUUCGUCAUUUCACCACCACAGGGACCAUUUAUGAUAUUUUCAGUUUUUUUUAAAGAAAAAACGAUAUAUAAGUAUUUAAUAUAUAAUAUCUCUCUCUCUCUCUCUCUUUCUCUCUCUCUCUCUCUCUCUUUUUCUCUCUCUCUCAGGUGCCCUGUUCUAGAAGAGCGACAUAGGUACUUCCGGUGAGUACCAUUCCAUUACUGACCAUUGAUUUCUCCAUCCUGAAAAAACAACACAUGUCUCCUCCCUCUAUUCCAGAAACAUCACACACGACCCCCCUUUUCCCUCCUAUCAUCUCCAACCAAAGCAACCUUUUAGCACCGAUGAUCUUGAACCCAAUUCGUCUCCAACUGUUUGAUUUGACAAAGUUCCGGCUGUUUGAGACAAGAUAAGAGGAGAUAAGAGGUCUUUACAAUCCUUAACCAUAUGCAUGAUUAAUCAAACAAACUAAGAAUUAAUUGAUUUCAAUCACAGUCAAACAACCCAAGAAUCCAACAGAGCGGAGAAUUAAAGAAGCAAGCUGAUAAUGAAAAACAGUUAAACAAAAACUAGAAUCAAAUUUAUAGGAGGAGCUAUCGAUUUUAAUGCUUGUAAACAAACAAACCAAGAAUCAAACACAGUCAAACGAAACCAAAACUUUAAGACAAAACUUCAUUUUGGAUGGAAGAGGCAUCAAAAAAUUAACCAAUAACAUCAGGUACUGAUUUGUGUGUGCGUGUGGGUUUUUAAAUUAUUCCUUAGAUGAUCAGACAAAUAUCAAGAUGAUCAGAAGGGGUAAGGAGCCUAGUUGUAGAUAGGGGAGGAGGGCAUACCCAUUAAAUUUGCAGAAAACACGAAAAGGAAAAGAGGAGGAGUGGCUUUGAUCGAAUAAAAAAUAGUGAAGAGGGAGGGAGGGCAUACUUGUAAUGUAACUGAAUCGGAGGAUUGGAGCUCAAUUUCUUCAGAAGAUCGCUGUUUUCCAAACUGAUAACCCUAGGUUUAGCCAAAUUUUUCAUCUGGAUUGAAUUUCUUAACACAUAUAGACACUUUAUUAGCUUGAUAAGAACCAGAAGGAAGAUUCGAGGUGAAACCAGUAACCGAUUUUGAGCCUAAUUUUGCUUUAUCCAAUUGUCCUUCCAAUGACGUAGAAACAUUAGGAUCAAGAUUUGGAGGGAAAACCUCCAUAAAACCGAACGAGAACUAGGUUCAAGAAUAGAGAAGAAAAUAUGGGUCGUGAUGGGAUCGACGAAAGAAAGAGACAGUAGGUGGUGGUGAUUGGAGUCCUCACGGUGGCAGCGGGUGGUGGCGGUGUGCAAUGACAGCUCCACUGCCUUGCUCAUUUGUUUUCUGCCGACGUGAACUGAAAGGGAGGGGUGGUGAACGGUGGCAGGUGGUUGGAGGGAGCUAGUCCGAUGGAGCGACACAAGUAGUAACAACAGCACAUGUGAGGAUGUUUGGCUAGCUUCGAUCAGCAACAAAAGAGUGAGAAACACGAUGGUGGUGAUGGUUGGUGAUAUAAGAACGAAAGAGAGAGAGAGAGAGAGAGAGAGAGAGAGAGAGAGAGAGAGAGAGUAUAACCCCUUAGCAUAUUAUUAUUAUUAUUAUUUUAUAAAAUAAAAGAAAACAUCAUAAAUAGUCACUGUGGUAGUGAAAUGACGAAAAUACCCUUCAGUUAACGGAUAAAACUUAAUAGAGUUAGCAAAAAGGACCAAACAUCAAAAGUUUUGAAAACAUAGGAACCAUCUAUGAGGUUUUUAAACCAUGAGGACUAAACUUCAGAUUUUGGGAAACCACAGGGACCAUUUAUGAUGUUUUUUCUUUAUUUACUAAUAAAAGUUAUUUUAGUGGAUUACUAUUCGUUUAGUUAUGAUUUUGAAUGUUUUAAAUAGUUUUCUUUAUUAUUCUAAUGUCAUUCUUGAAAGUUUGCAAUUGAAGUGCUAGAUAAAUAUGACUUACUAUUUGACAAGUUCGUUAAUGAGUCAGACAAACCUAAAAAAUAUUUGAAAAACUAUUGCACAUUCCCAACCUAUGUUCAAGUUUUUCCAACAAUUACACGAUUAUAAUAUGAAUGUUGAUUAAGUUAUUUUUAAUUUAUUAAAUUUNUAUAUAUAUAUAUCAUUAUUAAAUUAUUUGAUGUUACGUUGUUAUUCUUUCUAGCCAUUUUACUUUUGUUACAACCCAAUGUUUUAUUCUUGAUCUGGUUCAUGUUGGCCGCUUGAAUUGAAAUUAGUUCAUUCACGUUAUUCGAUUUGUAAAAUCUAUAAUUGUGUUAUGAAUUGGUGCUAAGUGACAAACAUUUUAUUGUUUCUGUGAUGGGAUUAACUUCAAUGUAAACUAAAAUUGCAUGUUUUUACGCUUCCGACCUUGUAAGAAGCAUUGAACGUUGUUGGGAACAUUCACACAAAACUUAAUGUUAUCUUUCAAUCUAUUUAUAAGAUGUUGUUUAGACUAAGUUAUUAAGGUUUGAUUUAAUUCGAAGAGCUUGUUUUGAUUAAACAAUUUCGUGAAUAGAAGAUGUUAGAGCUUGUUAGUAUAUUCAAGUACCAACUUCAUAAAUUGACAAUGUUUGUGACUGUUACUAUUAUUUUUAAAUCAUAUGUGAAAAUAUGAUUCCUUGUUUGAUGGGUUCAACACCCAUCAAACACCACCACCAUCACCCAUUCUGGGUGGGAUUCUUAAAAAUAAUAUAAGGAUGGUGGUAGUGUUGUCCAAAAAAAAACGAAUUAAUACAAUAAAAAUGUAAUUUAAAAAUUAACUAAAAAAUUAACAAUCCAAUAAAUUAAUAGUUAUUAAUAUAUAACUAUUAUACAAUCAAAAUAAUAUUUAUUAAUAUAUAACAGUCCAAUAAAAAAUAAAUCCAUUAAAAAAGAAAUUCUAAAAAGAGUUAAUUAAAUAGGUUAAUAAUCCAAUAAAUUAAUAUUUAUUCAAAUAUAAAUAUUAUAUAUUAAAAAUAAUAUCUAUUAAUAUAUAAUAUUUCAAUAAAAAGAAUUAAUCCAAUAAAAAGAAAUUGAAAAAGAAUUAGCUAAAGUAAUUAAUGUACAAUAACUGAAUAUUUUUUUUAAAAGAUGAAUGAAUGGUCCUUAUAGUUUGGUGGUAGAAAUGGUCCUUAAGGGUAAAAUUGACAUUAUAAAAAACUUAAUAGACAACCUGUUAAAGUUAAUGUUUUGUGACAAAAAAAUGCACAAAGUAUCCAAAAUUUGACCACUAAUGCACCAUCAAACAUUUUGGACCAAAACCAUAUAAUUUUGACAACCAUAAGGACCAUUUUUGCAAUUUUUGUCAAAAAUAUGGACCAAAAUUUAAUAUCCACUCCAGGUAUCAUUUUAUGCUUUGUAAGCCUAAGUAAAAGAGUUGAGAUUUGGCUUUAUAACACAGACCACGACGUGGUGAUAAGCGUACCACAGCGUGGUGACUACUAUAACCACGCCAUGGCCCCGUAAUGGGCUCAAAACCUAUGGCUCGAAUCUUGAGCCCUAUUUAAGGAAUGAUGGGGCUAGGGUUUCUUCCCAACCCCAACCUCCAUCUUUCUAAAACAUUUCCUCCAAACACUAGACUCCACUAUUGUGUUCUAAGCCUUUUGUAUGUGUGUGUGUGAUGUGCCAUUUUAAAGGAAGAAUCACCACUCGUUGGAUUUUUAGAGUAUCUUGUGGAAGAUCCAACACCUUUAUUACCUUCUAAACCAUUGUAAGUGCUCAAAAUUUCAAUUUAUGGUUUUAAAUUCAUAGAUCUAGCAUUUUGAGUCCUUCUUUUAGAUUUUGUUAGAACUUAUGGAAGAACUCCAGGUAAAGCUUAAAACUUUACCAAUAUAUAGUGUCCCUUGAGUGUUUUAUAUUUUAGAUUUGGAACUAGGGAGUGAUUUGGGACCAUGCAAACAAUAAUGGUCUCAUUUCUCACUAUUUUUUACCUAGAAUGGUGUAAGACAUGCAUGGGUGUGCAUGUCCGCAAAGUUAUGAUUUUUAUGACCCUUUUAGGUGCUACGAAACCUUUUAGAAAGUAUCAGUGGUUGGCUUAAUGGAUUAAGGGCUUAAUCCAUUAAGCUGUUUUGGGACAGUUUCCAUGACGCUUAGUAUGGCUCGCCAUGACGUGGUGAUGGGUUUCAUCGUGACUGUUUUGUAGAGUGGCUACUACGGCGUGGUCACUGGUUGGCCACGACACGAUGGUUGAAUGUUGACUUUGGUCGUUAACUUUUUGACCACAUAGACUUUUGGUCAAACGUGGAGAGGUUUUGAGUUAUGACAUGAGGUUUGGCUUCUGGUUGGUUUAAGUGGUUCUUAUAGUUGAUUUUGUGGAAUUUCGAGUGGAUUAUAACUCUUUGAUCAGGUGAGUUUUCUCACUAUACUAUGUAGGACACUAGGUGUCGUGGUAUGCUAGAUUAUAUAUAUGACUUUUACAUGAAAAACUGUGGUGGGAACACAACACUUUUAUAAAAGACUGUGUUUGGAUCACAAUACUUUCAUGGAAAGACCAUGGUGAGACUAUGGCCGAAAACAUUGCAGUGGAGCUAUAGCAACAGAAGUGAUUGUAAGACUAUGGUGGGAUCGUAGAAUGCGCAAAAGUUAAAAUACACCCUAGCGUAGGGCCCAGUUUUAUGUAUGGUAUGUGGUACUAUGGGAAAGUCACUGAUCAUUGUGCUUAAAGUUUAAGUUUAAAUGUUCAGGUACCACCAAUAGCAAGGGAAAAGAGCAAGUAUGAUUGUGUUGCAUCCAUCAACGAUUUCCACACUAAGAGAUUUUGGGAUUACUCUCAUAUUUUUAUGACAAAAAUAUACUUAUGUUUUGGAUGACUUGACUUCUGAAGUUUAUUGAAUGGUUUUAUUUACUUUAAAAUUUAGAGAUUUUCUAGUAUUUGUCGAAUAAUACAAGUUAGUAUCAGAGCGUUGGUUUGAGGGUUCAAGCUAGCAUAGGGUGCGUUUGAACUAAAACAAAUCUUUUCACAAGAAAACAUUUUCUAAUAAGGGGUUUUCAAAAGAAAAAAUGGGGUGUGAUGCAUGCAAUCAACCGAGCCCAAGUAAUUAAUUACCAGAAUAAACAUACAUGAAUUUUAUGUUUAGCAUGAUAUGAUAUGAGUUGUAUGCUAGUACUAUGCUAAGAAUCUUCUUAGGGUUGCAUGCUAGAAUUCCUAUUAGAGUAAUGCCUUUUAUGCCUAUUAUGUGUUAAUAAAGAAAUGCUUUAGGAUUUAUGCUAAUUCUAGUAAAUUAUUUGAUGAAUGAAUUAGGAUGGUACAUGUUAACGUAUGGUCCAUUACCUUGGCCCAGACGUCAAGACUUGGUGCGCUAGUCUUUCCUGGUGCUCUCCUGGAACUUGUAUUCUAGUCUUGUCUGGCGCCCGCAUGACAUUCGCCUAGUGCCCGCACUGGCACUCGACUUGCGCCCGGGCGAUCUCUCCCAGCUCCUUGCUAGUUGUACCUAAGUUCGGUUGGCCCAAGGCCUGACCUACCUCUCCCUUGACCUAAUUUUCCCAUAUAAAUAGAACAUAAUAUCCACCGUGAGGAGGGAUCUGAAACCCUAGAGAUUCUAACCAACCUCUAGUCACCCACUAUAACCUAGACCUUCAUAUCAGCCUCCAUGGCUAAACAUACACAAAACGCAUACCAAGAUGGUUCUCUCCAGCUAGGGAGAACCAUCUCAUCUCUACCAACCAAUCUGACCUGAUCGUCGGAGCUUGCUCCCAGGGCACAAUCCUUAGGGCGACUCUAAUGACUUUGUUGGGACUGCAACUUAGGUACCUCACCGAAAAAUUGUUGACGGCACCUCCUCCGGAUCUCCGAUCCGGAUCCAACACAGAACACCCGACAGCCUGAGCACAUGUCGCAACAUUUGGUGCCAUCCAUGGGACAAAGAACAAAUAGUUAUCGUCUCUUGGUCUCAACCUCAGUUUCGCCUCUGAUCUGUUCAGAUUAACUGUUCUUUGUCUCAUAUUAGCUCAGCUCUGUUCAUUUCUACCAUUAUUUGUUCAGAUUCGUUUGACUCUCGCCAAAAUCUGUCCGGAUCUAUUUACCAAACAUUCAAAUCUCUUGAUCUACCUCGUUUUUCCUUCAUAUAUCCAGAUCUGUUUGGUUUUUUCUCAUCAAAUCAUUUCUCAGACCUAAGAAGAUCUACUCAGAUCCGUUUUUGUUUGUAUUUUGAUGAUUUAUUUAGAAAAAUGGGGAGAAUAGAAAGUUUUAUGAGUUUUAUGUGCCUUUAUCAGUUUAUAUUCCUAGAAAACUCUCCUUAGUUAAAGUUUUCAUGAAUAUUUGAUAUCUUAUGAGGCAUAUGCUUGUAAAUGCUGCUAUGAUGGUACAUUCCAAAACACAUCCAAUAUGUCCAAUAAAUCUAUUGAUAUUUUGUUACGGUGCAAAUUUCUCAUUGGAUGUGGAGUGUAGGCUUACCCUCUUGGAUGUGUAAAUGGGUUGAGUCAUUCCUAUAUUUAGGAAGUGAGCAACUCCCAUUAUGUAUGACCCAUUUUAUGAGUGUUAGUUUAGUGAGAGAAAGAACAAACCCACUUGUACUCUUACUAUUCUAAUAGAGCUUAAACAUGACUAUUUACUCUUGGUGUUCUUGAUUUUUGUAUAAUUCACUAGAUUUUUUCAAUUCCGCACAUGUCAUCAUAAUUAAGAUCGCUACAAUUGGUAUCAUAGCGGGUGUUCUUGAAGCUCUCACGAAUUGGUCCAUGAUGACUAUAUGAUUUGAGAGAAUCUUCAUUGUUGUGAGCUAUUCGUGAUUCAGAGUGUUUAUGUUCUAGAAAUCGAAUUUAUUCCUUGAUUUCAUCCAAAAUUCAAGUUUCUCUCUCUAGAAUAUUUAUUCAUAUUCCAUUUCUCUCUAUAAAAUUUUCAAGUUCUUGUGAUCAUGGUGUAUUUGGCUUAUGGUUUUUGGGUUGUGAUAAAUGGAGAUGUCAAAUACAAAGUGAAUGAGAAACAAUUUUGUGGGUUAUUGUUGAAAUGCGGAUUGAUUACAUGGGAAACUUUGAUGUCCUAUGGAGGCUUGAAAGAUGAUCAUGGAAGAUUGAUAUUUCAACCACUUUUAAAGAUUGGAAGUUUGAUUGAAAUCACCAUGAUUAUGUUACCUUGGUGUGAAAAUCAAAAGGAAGGAAAAGAAAAAGAAUUAUUCAAGAAGGAAUAUGUUUCUCUUAUUGAAGACCCAGAAGAUCUUCAUGUUCUUAAGUUUGUUGAAUUUCAAGAAUGGGAAUUCAAUGUGAUUUUGAUGAAUAUUUGAAAUUUCUUCGUUCAGUUGGAGUUCAAAUUGGUGAUUGCUUGAGUUCUUAUGAUUCGUUUGAAGGAACGAUGCCUUAUCAAAAGCCUUCAAUCCGAGAAGUCCAAAUGUAUCAAACUCCAAAACAUUUGAUUCAAACUUGCAAAGUUGAAGUUGUUCUUGAAUUCAAAUCUUCAAGAUCCAAAAUGAUGAAAAGGAAGAAAAAGAAGAAAAAGAUCAAAAGCAAAAAAAAAUUGGGUUUCUUCACAAAAAGCUUCAAAAGUUGUUAUGAAUCUGAAAUUUCUUAAGCUAAUUUGGGUUCCAAAGCAACAAUCAUCAAGUGUUGCAAUGAAUUUGAAUUCAAAACCCAAAAGUGUUGAUGGUUCUUAUGAAGAUGAUGUUAGAUCGUCAAAGAACACGAAGAACGGUUUGUACAACAUGCAUUGUGGGUGGUACAAUGUGAAUAUUGGAGAUUUUCUUGUUCCAACCAAAGAACCAAGAUCUUCAAUGACUGCUUUGUGUGUUACAAACAUAAAAACAAUCAUCAAGAAGGUGUCUCAAAUUCUUAAAUGGAUUGCGAAAAUUCAUGUUGAGAUCAACGAUGAACGACCAAGGCUUUUCUCAAAACUCAAAUUUAAUCAAUUAUUCGUUUCGUUUUUUAUUUUUGAUCGUUUUGAUUCAUUGGAUCUAUUUUGUUUCAAAUCCCAUUGAUGAUCCAAUAAAAAAAAAUUUGAUCAAGUUUAAAGAAAACAUUAAAAUUCAUUUGAUUUAUAUUACUGUCCAUUGAUUGAACAAAAUAUGAGCCCAAAAUUAUAAUCUGACCUUCAUACUUGUUCAUCAAUCCAUAUUCAGCCCACAUAACUCAAUCUUUCUCUAUUCGUUUGAUCCAUGAUUUCUUGAGCCCAAAUUCAAACAGUAUUAUUUUUUGAAUCCCAGAUUAUUGGUUACACUGUUCGAAAUCAGAGGCAUGAGAUGUAUGAAAGUCAAAGUUUGACUGUUGUUUGCUAUUUGUAUUUGAAUAUUGUAAAAUUGCUUGAAUCGAAACUUGAUUUAAGAUGUUUGAAAUCGAUUUCAAAUAGUACCUAUCAUCGAUAAAUGUUGAUUUCGAUUUGCAAUUAGUUAAGUCGAAUUGUAAAUAGAAAGAAGGUGAAAUCGAAUGAGUUUUCGAUGAAUGUGGAAACAAUUUCGAUUUUGACUGGAGUUGUACUUGGUUUGAGUCCAUUAAGAGCCGAACAUAGAUUCAACUGGAUGUUUGCUGUUCGAAUUGAAAGAAUUUUGAGAAAUUGGUAGUCAAUGGUUGAAAGUCAUUGUAUUUGGAUACGAUUUUGACUAGGGUCGUAUUUGGAUUAGAGUCGAAUUUGACUGUUGUUUGGAAUUGAAUGUCUUGGAAUCGACAGUUGGUGUUUCGAUGGUUAAAUGAAAAUUUCAAACAUCCUAAUUUCGAUUGGUGUUUGUUAAUUGAGUCCAAGUCGAAAGCAGAGGUAGUCUUGGAAUCGAAUGCUUUGAAUUCGAAUCAGUUGCUUGGGAUUGAAAUUCAUAUUGACUGAUAUUGUGAAAUAAGCGGGGAAGAAAACAAUUCGAUAUUUCAUGAUGAACAUAGUUUGGGAAGGUGAUUGAAACGACUUCUCCAAAGUUGAUUGAUUUGGAAUCGACGAUUAAAAGAAGACUAGGAAUCAAAAGUCAAAGCCAUGAGUGUCGAACGUAUCUGAUUUGGAUAUACUUGGAGUCGAACGUAAUAAGUCUUGGGAAUGAAAGCUUGAAGCAGAAAGUUAGAAUUCGAAUGGUGUUAAACAAAACUUGAUUUGGAGUUAAAGGUUUUGGAGUCGAGUUAUGUUAAUUUCGAAAUCGAUUUCGAUAUGUAAAACUUGUCGUUCGAGCUCAGUCCCUUGCAGUUUUUGCAACUUGACACUUUAUGUCCGGCUUCGCAAUUGGAGUAAAGUUUUGCAAUUGAAAGUUGUUUUGGCGCAACGGAUCUCUACAGAAUUAUGAAAUUGACAGUUUAUACCCAGAUUUUGAAAUUCUUGUAAGUUUCACCUAAAAGUCAAAAAAUUUCACAAAAUUUGGAAAAUUUUCUUGACUUUUUGUGAUUAUUUUUCAUGCAAGAUUUUCGCAGUUUCAUUUUUGGUACACAUCGAGGGGGAGAUUCAUCAUAUUUAUUCCUCAAGCGUUUCUCGUCCUUUGUGAGUUUUAUAAUCACUUGUUGAUUAUAAAAAUGGGGAGAAUGAAUAAACGGUAUUAGAAGCUUCUCAGGUAUUCAUUUGCGGAUUUGAAGAUUGGUGUUAGUUCGAGGGGGAGUUGGUCUUGAUCACGCAAGCUCGUUUGGAAACUAAAGCAUGGACAUCCAAUCCUAACUUUGAGGGGGAGAAUAUUCAGGUGCAAAGUUCUCCUUGGAUGUGGAGUUUAGGCUUACCCUCUUGGAUGUGUAAAUGGGUUGUGUCUUUCUUCUAAUUAGGAAGUGAGUGACUCCCAUUAUGUAAGACCCAUUUUGUGAGUGUUAGUUUAGUGAGAUGUAAAUUCUGGAAUUCUCACCCGCAGCAAAGUCAACAACAACUUAUGCAUGUUUGUCAAUUUAUCUUAUUGAUUGAACCAAAAAAAUAUUGUUGAUGCUUUGAAAUAGGUUGACUGGAUCAAGGUUAUGCAGGAUGAGCUGAAUGAAUUUCAAAGACAUCUUGUGUGGACUCUUGUUCCAAAAUCUCAAGGGAAGACUAUCAUUCGCACUCGUUGAGUUUUUAGGAACAAAUUGAUGUGGAUGUGAUUAUUAUAAGAAACAAAGCUAUACUUUUGGCUCAAGGUUUCUAUUAGCUUGAAGGGUUGGACUAUGAUGAAACUUUUGCUCCUGUUGCUAGACUUGAAGCAAUUUCCCUGUUUUUUGUGUUUUCUUCCUUCAAGAACUUCAAAUUUUAUGAGAUGGACGUCAACACUACUUUUCUACACGGUGAUCUUCAUGAAAAUGUUUUUCUAAAGCAACCACCAGGGUUCGAAAGUGUCGAAUUUCCAAACCGUGUGUAUCGUCUUGACACAUUGGCAAUCUAUCUUCUUUCAAAUGGAUACAAUCGAGUAAAGAUUGACAAUACUUUGUUCAUAAAGAAUUCAAGAUCCCAUAUCAUUCUUGCCCAAGUGUAUGCGGACAUAAUAAGACCCUGACACAAGCAACACCUAGGAGACAGAGCUUUGAAAAAGGACUUUGUACAUAGAAAGUACUUUUGUAUGUAGGACAUGCUCCAUCGAGCAUCAAUCUUCUCAAACAAAGUAUCUACUCUCUAUUCUGAUCACACACGUACCCUUAAUAUGAUACUACCCAAUAUCCAAACUUAAUAGAACUAAACAUCUCUUUUAAGUCUUAUUUCAUCACUAAGCAAGCCUACAAUGUUUAUAAUCAACUUUCAAUACUAACUCUGUUUCGGCAAUACUGUAAUGUUUUAUACAGAGUAUUAAGUAUUAACAAACAUUUAUCCUCUCAUUUAUAAUACUUGUAUUAUUAUUAUCAUGUAAAUACAUCUCACCACAUAUACAACCAUGUCUAUUUCGCAUAUCGUAUAUCAUCAAAUAUACAUAUAACACAUAUUCCUAGAUAAUAAGCAUAUAACUCACAAAUAAAAGUUCAACGUAUAUUUAAUACUUUUAUUAAUACUUGUAUUAAAGUCAUGUCCAUGAAAUGUACUAUGCACUUACUUGUAAAAGUGACAACUUGAAAUUCGGGCAUCACUUCGCUUCUAGCAACUGUCUUUUCCUUUGACGUAACCUAACAUUAUUAUCGCUAAGUUUUAGUCUAAUAUUAAUUGCGACUAAUUGUUAGUCUAAAUUCAUCAUUAACUCAAAGUCUACUUCAAGAUCUAUUAAGUAAGGAACAACCAGGUAGGAUCAUAUCGGAAGUAGGGUCUGUUUGGUAUACGAAGUAUACUGUUUGGAAAUCCGACUUUAAACACCACACUAAAUCACACCCUAGAAAUGAUCCCCAUAAGUAGAUCAACCAGUAUAACGACUUGGAAUCACUGAUAAAUCUUGUUUAUCUAUUCAUAAUAACGAUAAUGAAUUUAAACCUAAGUUAUACUUAAAGUAGGGUACAAAUAACUCACUUACAAGGGAGUUUUGCGUGGAACCGGGCUCCGCGCGGGCAUAACUUCUGAGUCUAAAUCUCUUCUUCACGGGGCUUUCCGACACUCUGUGACUCGCUUCUAACACUUAGAAUGUGCCAGGGAAAGGCUUAGAGGGUCUGGGAGUGUUUGGGAUUGAAUGGGUUAGAAGGUUUGAAGACAUGAAGUGAUUUUCGCCUCUAUUUAUAGCAUGUCUGAAGGUCGUACAUUGGGCGUAGUAGAUGGGUACGUUGGGCGUACUCAUGCCAUGUGUCACUAUCUGGUGGCAAGGCGUGGGGAGGAAGCAGUGGCUCAGAUCGCACCACGUGUCACUCGUUGGUUACUCCAAAAACUAAUUAUCUUCUAAAAUCCGUAACUUUUGCAUAUGAGCUCUGUUUUUAAUGUUCUUUAUAUCCACCCAUAGGUAUCGAUGGGAUCUACAACUUUCAUUUAGAAUUUGUCGCCUAGUUUUGAAUUCAUUUUUCAAGUUAUAUUUUAACAGCUUAGACACUUAAAGUCCGUUAAAAAAUCAUAACUUUGUCAUCCGACGUCCGUUUUGGACUGUCUUUAUAUCGUUGAGCUCCCAUUAAUGAGAUCUUUAAUUCUCAUUUAGGCCGUGUCAGCUAAAAAUCGAUCGAUCUAAAAUUCGAUUUUCGAGCUGUGUGCUACUGUGCUAAAUCUUAGAAAAAUCAUAACUUCCUCAAAUGAAGCAGAUUUAGACGUUCUCUAUAUGCACACUCUCAGUUUAACAUAAACUACGACUUUAGUUUAGAUCUCUAAGGCUAGAAAGUAGUUAUUUUUUACGAUACGCGACGUCGUGCCAGUUUAGUCGCGAAACUUCAACAGGUCAUAACUUAUUUCUUAUAAGUCGGAUUUUAGUGUUCUUUAUAUGUACGGAAUCCUUGCGACAUAUACAAUAACUUUGGUUAAUAUUAUUUAUUCUAAAUAAUCUUCUAUCAAAAAGUCAUUUUUAACGUUUAUUGUCUCUAAAUUGACGAGCCCGAAUCUGCGAGCGUUACAAUUAUCUCCCUUUUACGAUGAUUACGUCCUGGAAUCAUCAACAAAGCAUUGCUUCAAUAAUGACUCCAUAAGUUAUCUUUUCAUCCUAGUUAAUAAUCGUGACUCUUUUGUCCUGUCAAAUGACUAUCGAAUUCUUGAACUUCUUGACUGCAGACGGUACGUAAUCUUGCACCCGCUCUUUAUCCUAUGUUGGACUUUCAAUCGUAACCUUUGAGUUACAAAAUCAAUACUUAUUGGAGACUACUGCUUCUACCUAAACAGACUUAACUUAAUAUAAGGUCUUUAUUUCGAUUAUCGUAACAGACCGAUGUGUCAUGUUCUAAUGACCUUUCAUCGUAUGAUGCAACGCUUAGACUUAGGUCUUUUAGAGUCAAGUUCUAGAAUGUAAUAUACCUUCCUUCAUGUUAUAAUGUGAUAUAAUCACAUUCUAGCAUGUAGCACUUCUAGCUACAAGCUUCUUAACAACGAUCGUAAUACUUCUAUUGAUCGCUUCAAUUAUCUUUCACUUCAAUCUUCUGGCUUAAGUCAGAUGCUACAUCGAUCUUGGUUCUCCGAAUCACGUAACAUACUUAUCUUAUCUGGACUCGAUUUGAUAUGACCACUAGGGUAGGAAUAAUAAUAAUUUUCUUAGUCAUUGCCGAAAUGGUGGUAACGACAGACAUGAAUAAAAAAGAAUCAAUUAAUAGCACCUUGGUAACCUUGUGACUUUCCUUGAUCCAAGUGUGAGUCAUGCGAUUCCGGCAGUAUAGGCCUUUACUACCUUUCACAUCUACUCAUACUCGUCCCAAGUAUUGUCUCGUAAUUCUCCAAGGCACAAAAAAUGAAAAAUCAUAUAGCAACGUAACACAUCAUAACAUACCAAGGUUUAUAUUAUUUCUUGAAACGAUUACAUAGAUGUUCAAGUUCACCCUGUACUAUGCCUCUUAUAUUAGGCUACACCACAUGAUACUACUUAUAUGGCUACUUUAUAGAUCCUUACUCCUAAUCCCUUGCAUCCUCACCUGCUUCAUUAAGGAUCAUUUGGAACACUCUUGCCAUUGGCUUUGGCGGUGCGUUUCGCUUUGUAGCUCCUUCCCUCUUUGGGCAGUCUUGCUUGAAGUGUCCUUCUUCACCACACUUAAAGCAUAAUUCUCUCUUCGUUGUGUAUUUGUUGGCAUAGUGACCAGUCUUCCCGCAUUUGAAGCUAGUAACCUAUUUAGAGCAUCUCCCAAUGUGCUUCCUUCUGCACUUUUCACACCACUUUUCUUCAUUUCUAUCCCCAUACAUCUUGUUGUUAGGGUCAGACUUCGGGAACCUAUUUUUCUUUUUGGAUCUCGAAGACCCCUCAAACUUCCUCUGCUCGCCAACUUCAACAGUAUUGGCGGUUCUGCCUUUGAUCAUUUCUUCAACAGACUUAGCAGCCCAGAUGUCUGCCUCAAGAGUAGGUGCAUGGCGCACUGGCAUAGUGUACUCCCAUGGCAGUCACUUUGUAUACUUAUUGAUUUUUGUUAGCUCGUCAGGGACGAUGCACAAAGAAAACUCCAUCUUGUCUGUGAAGGCAUUAGUGUACUCAUCAAUGGACCUAUUUCCCUUUUUUAAUGUCAGAAACUGGUUCUCUAGCUCUAGCAUGUUUUGGACAGAGCAAACUUGUGUUUAAAGUGUACCAAGAAUUCUGCCCAUGUCAGUUCUAGUGGCUCAUUGGGGCUUAUGAUCUUUCCUAAGGUGUUCCAUCAACGAACAGCCCCACCAUUAAACUGACGCACACAUAAGUGAUUUGCAGCUUGCCCUUGCAACCACAUGUUAUGAAACCUAGCUCCAUCUCAGAGAUCCAGUCCAUAACUCUGAAUGGAUCUUCUUUCGCAGUAAAGGUUGAUGGUUUUCAAGUCGUAAAGUCUUUAUACUUACAUUCUUUCUUUUUAAUUCCUUCAUCCUGGUUAUUUAUCCUAACCACUUAUGGUUUGGCUUGACUAAUGGUUCUAUUAUAGUUUCCUUCUUCUGACUGUUCAAUGUUUAGUUCAGGUUGUGUAAUGGGUGCCAAUGGUUCAUCCUUAUUGUUCAACAAUAUUUUCCUCAUCUCUUCCCUUUGUUCGUCCAUCAUAGCCCGAAUCAUUUCUUGGACUCCUGCCAUCGUGAUUGGCUCGGGUACAGCUACUACCUCUGGUGCAAACUCAAUCACUCAUGGCUUAGGUUGUUGAUUUGUGACAUCCCCAAAAUCUCGGCCAAAAAAGACCGAUUUUUCAUUUAUGCUUUUAAAAUAAUUUCAGAGUAAAUCCUUUUGAUUUGAAAGAGUUGCGGAAUUUGUUCCCAAAAACAAAGUAUGAUAAAAUAAUAUUUACCAAAGCAUUUCAUAAAGAAAUGUAUUUUUAUUAUAUAAUCAAAACUUGGGAUGUCAUGUUCCGAUACAGACCAUAAAGCAUAAACGAUAACAUUACAAGUCAUUCAACAAAUAUAUACAUAUAAAGACUUAUAAACAAAACAACUUGAUGAUUCAUCCAUCUUAUGCCCUUGCGCCACUUCCUGUAAUACAAAUAAAACUGAGUGGGUCAGGCUUGGGAGCCUGGUGAGCAUAUAGGGUUUUCAACCCAUAAUAAGUAAUUAACUUUAUUUUCAUUAACCAACAAUAACCCAAUUACCCAUUCCCGUUAUUCUCACUUUAUGUCCCUAAAACAACUAACACAAGGGACCUAGUCUAAGAAUAUUUCAUCGGGGCGACAACACAUGUGUUCGGGGGUUUCCCAGCAAUAUAUGUCAAAUAAGGCAACCAUGAGGGGGAUGGAGUACAGCGAAUGAACACCCAAGUUCAUUAACACCUACAAGUGGCGAGCCUGCUGGCAUUCCACAGGACUGUCUAGAAAAGUCUGUGGUCGUCAUCUAAACUCCGCUAGAUGACUGAAUCAAAAACAACAUCGAGGCCUCUCAUCUUUUUAUCACACAUCAACUAUCUACCCAUGUUCUACCCAACAUAUUAGUAGAUAAAAAUAUAUAUAAAUAUGUAUUUUUAUACAUAGUUUAAAACCUACAUAGCAUUCCCAUUCGAUACAUAUUCCAACCAACAGAUGAGACACAAACACAUAACACGUAUUACAUAGAGAAUAACUCAUAUCUAUGAGAUAGAAGAAAGUGAAUAUACAUUCACACAUAUAACAAAAAAUAUACACAUAACACGUAUUUCGUAUAAAAUACUUCAUAAUUAUGCAUUAGAAGAAAGUGACUACACACUCACUUGAUCAGAAGAUGAUCGGACAGCACUACGACUUGCAGAAGUAGUAUUCUUCGGUAAAUCUGGAAGAUCUUCACAAAAACCGGGCUCCUUGCGGGCAGAGCUUCGGCUCGGGAACUGCACUUCUUGGGAUCUUAGGGGCUUCGAGACUUGAUUCGGGGCUCGGGAAUAAUACCGGGGCUUCGGGAUAUGAUUGGCACGCAAAACGAUGCAAAACUUAGAGAGAAAGGAAGAAAAUGGCAAAAGAAAUCAGCAGCCUUGCAUGCCCUUAUAUAGGGGCUGAACCUCGCAUUACGCUGGGCGUAAUGCUCCGGUGUGCAAGGCGUACGCUUCGGAUCUUCACUGCAUGUGUCAUCGGAGCACUCGAGUGCGAGGCGAGUCAUGCUUCGAUGUACGUUGGGCAUAGUUCGGAUAGGAUCAGCGACUCCUUCGGAUAAGCUUUGGUAUGCAUGCCACAAUCUUCAAAAAUUCAUAAUUUUUGCAUACGAGCACCGUUUUCGACGUUAUUUAUAUCCACACGUAGGUGAGACUACGCUCUACAACUUUCGUUUAGACUCCGUCGGCUAAUUUUGACAUUAUUUUUAUUAUUUAUUUUUAGUAGGCCGGGACAGGAAAACUCCGUUAUAAAUUCAUAACUUCUUCAUCCGACAUCUGUUUUUGCCUAUCUUUUUAUCGUUUCACUACUAUUAACGAGAUCUUCGAUUCUCAUUUAGAUUGUUUCGGCUAAAAAACACUCGGUCUCAAAUCGAGUAUUCGGGCUGCAUAUUGUUAAGUCGAAACUUCGAAAAAUCAUAACUUCCUCAUACGAAGUCAGAUUUGGACGAUCUUUUUAUGCACGCUCUCGGUUUAACGAACUCUACGAAUUUUGUUUAGAUCACUAAGGCUAAAUAUCGCUCUAACUUAAAUUUCACUUUUUACGUCAUUCAGCGUUGCCGGUUCUGUUGCGAAACUUCGAGGGGUUAAAACUUCUUCGUUGUAACUCGGAUUUCGGCAUUCUUUAUAUAUUCAGAAACCUCGUUUCAACUACUACAACAUUAUCCAUAUAUAUAUAUAUAUAUAUAUAUAUAUAUAAUGACUUNUUUAUAUAUUCGGAAACCUCGUUUCAACUACUACAACAUUAUCCAUAGAUAUCCACUUUAUCUAACAUUUUAUUUUGACGCUUAUUUUCAUUUUUAAUUUAAUUAAGUCACACAACUAAGCACAAAACACAUAAUACUCAAAUAAUACAUCUUUAUUAUAUCAAGAUGGGUUACAAGGGUUAACCUAGAGUAUUACAUUGCUAUUAAUGACAAGCCCAAAAACACGGGCGUUACAUGAUUACCGUUUUCAAAUCCACUUCGAGUUCUCACCAUAUCGAUCUAUACACCAAAUCAGACGUUCGGUGUGCAGUGACGAGAAUUAAGAUAGGGAAAUCUUUAUUUAUGAUAGACGUAUAAAUCUCCUUAUCACUCUGAAGACUUACAUGCCAGUUCUAGUAUCGUAAUUAAAACUUUAUAAAUCUGAACAGAUAAAAUUUCCAAAUCUGGUUGGCAAUAGACCAUUGAUCUGAUAGCAUCGUAAAGCAUAUAAGGCAUAUUAUAACAUAAAUCAUUUAACAUAUAAAGCAAUUUAGGCAUCCCUCCUAAAUAAGCUAGUGCUCGUGUCUAUUCAGGCAUACAUCCUAAACAUAGCAUACACUCAUCUAACAGUCAUCACUUAGCAUUCUAAUUUUAAGUUUAGAAAUAAAUCCUUACUCCUAGUUCGCUUAAACUAGUGCUAUGAUAUCAACUCUGACAUCCCCAUUUUCACAUCCAGAAAAGACCGAUUUGUUUAUUCUAAUUUUAAAAUAAGAGUAUCCUUUUUGAAAAAUAGUAUUGCGAAAUUUGUUCCCAUAAAGCAUGAUAAUGAUAUUAUCAAAUCAUUUCUGAUGUAAUGUAUUUUAUUGGUAUUAAAACAUUAGGAUGUCAUCGUCAAUAAAGAAACAUAAGUAUAACGAAAUAUUACAAGGCUUACAGUAAUUAAACUAAUGGCCUAAUACUCCUUGAAUUUUUCAGCAUAAUGUAUCUUUCAUAUAGCCACCUGUGAUACAAUAAACUGAGUGGGUCAGGUUGGGAAACCUGGUAAGUACAUAUGGAUUUCAAUCCUACAAUGUGAUAAUAAGGUAUAACUCAAACUUGAAAAUCCAACUAUUAUCAUUAACAUAGAUAUAUCAUAUCUCUAAAACAAUUUAUCAUAUUUCGUCGAUUCCUAAGUAUAGAUCCUAUACAAUGAUCUUACAAGAUCUAGCCUAAACGAUCAAUAUGAACAAAAAACUGACGAUGCUGUUUUGGAAAUUCCCUGACAGAAAAUGAGGAUCAAUAAAUACAUCAAAUGAGGGGAAUGGAAUAAGUUUCACCAUUAACCUCUGUUCGUAAAACAAGACAAUUAAGUAACGGAUGGUUAUCUAGAUAACUAUGCCUAGUAGCGGUAUGAUACCGCGAGGUAUUUUACCCCCAGACUAACCCUAUCCGGUAAUACAACAUCACAAUUUUCCUAGCAGUGGUCUGACACCGUCAGGUAUUUUCCCCCCAGACGUACCCUAUCUAGAAAUACAACAUCGAACAUACCUGGUAGUGGUCUAUUACUGACACACUCUAUUAGGUAGUCUAUGAAGUUCCCUCAAAUUUUUCGUGAAAGGAAAUGCUGACACAUGAAGCUCGUCCGAUCACUUCAUAAAAGAAAUGAUAAAUCCAAAACUCUUCAAUAUAAAAAGUAUGGGGAAAUACUAAUAAAGCACUCUCGUACGCUCCAGUACCCCGACACACAAUAGUGUCUAAAAGAUGGACUUUGUACAUGACACUAUUUCUGGCACAUUAUAGUACCCUGGCAUGAGUAGGACUCGUACCCUAGAACAUAAUAAUACCCCGGCACAAGCAAAACCAAAGACACAAAUCUUUGAAAAAGGACUUGGUACAUAGAAAGUACUUUUGUACGUAGGACAUACUCCAUCGAGCAUCAAUCUCCUCAAAAAAAGUUUCUACUCUCUAUUCCAAUCACACGCGUACCCUUAAUAUGAUACUACCCAAUAUCCAAACUUAAUAGUACUAAACAUAUCUUUUAAGUCGUAUUUCAUCAUUAAGCAAGCCUACAAUGCUUAUAAUCAACUUUCAAUACUAACUUUGUUUCAGCAAUUUCGUAAUGUUUUAUACAGAGUAUUAAGUAUUUACAUACAUUUAUCUUCUUAUUUAUAAUACUUCUAUGAUUAUUAUCAUGUAAAUACAUCUCAACACAUAUAGAACCAUGUUUAGUUCGCAUAGCGUAUAUCAUCAAAUAUACAUAUAACACAUAUUCCCGUAUAAUAAGCAUAUACAUAACANNNNNNNNNNNNNNNNNNNNNNNNNNNNNNNNNNNNNNNNNNNNNNNNNNNNNNNUUUUAUUAACACUUGUAUUAAAAUCAUGUUCAUGAAAGGUACUAUGCACUCACUUGUUAAAGUGACGACUUGAAUUUUGGGUAGCACUUCGCUUCUAGCAACUGUCUUUUCCUUUGACGUAACCAAGCAUUAUUAUCGCUAAGUUUUAGUCUAAUAUUUAUUGUGACUAAUUAUUAGUCUAGAUUCAUCAUUAACUAAAAAUCUACUUCAAGAUCUAUCAAGUAAAGAACAACCAGGUAGGAUUAUAUUAGAGGUAGGGUUUGUUUGGUUUACAAAGUAUACUGUUCGGAAAUCCCACUUUAAACACCUCACUAAAUCACAACCUCGACAUCAUCCCCGUAAGUAGUUCAAUCAAUAUAACAACUUGGAAUCAUUGAUAAAUCUUGUUUAUAGGUUCAUAAUAAUGAUAAUGAACUUAAACAUAAGUUAUACUUAAAGUAGGGUAAUCAUAACUCACUUACAAGGGAGUUUAGCUAGGAACUGGGCUCUAUGUGGAUAGAACUUCUGAGCUGAAAGCUCUUCUUAUCGGGGCUUUAUGGCGCUCUGGGACUCGCUUCUAACACCUAGGAGGUGCUAGGGAAAGGCAUAGAGGGUUUGGGAGUGUUUGGGAGAGAAAGGGUUAGAAUGUGUGAAUGAAUAAAGUGAUUUGCGCCCCUAUUUAUAGCAUGCCCGAAGGUCGUACGCUGGGCAUACUCGAUGGGUACACUGGGCAUACUCAUGCCAUGUGUCACCAUCUGGUGGUAAGGCGUGAGGAGGAAGCCAUGGCUCAGAUCACACCACAUGUCCCUCGCUAGUUACUCCAAAAACUAAUUAUCUUCUAAAAUAUGUAACUUUUGCAUACGAGCUCCGUUUUUUACGUUCUUUAUAUCCACCCAUAGGUAUCGACGGGAUCUACAACUUUAGUUUAGUCUCCGUCGGCUAAGUUUGACUUUAUUUUUAAAGUUAUAUUUUAAUUGGCUUAGACAGUUAAAGUCCGUUAAAAAUUCAUAACUUUGUCAUCCGACAUCCUUUUUCGACUGUCUUUAUAUGGAUGAGCUCUUAUUAAUGAGAUAUGUAAUUCUCAUUUAGGUUGUGUUGGCUAAAAAUUAAUCAAUCUAAAAUUCGAUUUCCAGGCUGUGCACUGCUAUGCUAAAUCAUAGAAAAAAAAUCAUAACUUCCACAAACAAAGUCAAAUUUUGACGUUCACUAUAUGCACGCUCUCGGUUUAACAUAAACUAUGAAUUUUGUUUAGAUCUCUCAGGCUAAAAAGUUGUUUAUCAAAAGUCCACUUUUUACAUUACAUGACGUUGUGUCGGUAUAGUCACAUAACUUCAAUGGGUCAUGACUUCUUUGUUAUAAGUUGAAUUUUAGUGCUCUUUAUAUGUAUGGAAUCGUUGCGACAUAUGCUAUAACUUUGGUUAAGAUUAUUUAUUCUAAAUAUUCUUCUAUAAAAAAAUAUUUUGAACGCGUAUUGUCUCUAAAUUGACUAGCCCGAAUCUGUAGGCGUUACAAAAGAGCAACCAUCAAAGUAAUAAUUCUUGUUAUCAUCUACUGAAUCAUAAUCUGAUAAAACCUUUCCUGUUGAUCUUGAAGACACAAUGUUUUUAUGGAUUUGAGUCAUUUAACUUGUAGGUUACAAAUGGCUCUUCUCUUGCCCAUGUUGAACAUGAACCUUGGAAAGCAUAUGAAAUUCUUCAAUGAUAAAUGGCCUCAUCACUCUUGAUUCAUAAUGAGAUGUUUACUGAUGAGUUUAUCUUUUCUUAUGCUUUCUUUUAUAGCUAAAAAUUCAAGGGGUAGAUAUCUUGGAAAACGGGAAUGCGUUAAUGACCAUUCAAUUCCAAAGAUUUAAUGGAAAAGGUUUAAUCUCCUUUUCGAAAAAGUUACACAUAUUUCCUUGUUUGACUAACUCUUUUGUAUUCUUAUUAUGUAUCAUUUUUAUGAAAAGGAAUAUGACGGUGGCAACUUUAAGCCUAAUAUGCAGGUUUUGACGCAUCAUCAUUACUAGAAGCAUGUUGUUGUAUGUGACAAAAUCUCUCUAAGUUUCUCAUCAGCGAGACCAUUUGCUGAGAACAUUGAGUCACCCACUUACACUGAUUGUCUAGCAUUGUCUAAACUUUCAAUGUGAGAUUUCCUGGUCCUAAUAAAAAAGUUAUCUUAAGGGUUGGGUGUUUAUUUUAAAAUUAAUUAACUUACCUGACUCUGUCCCAUGACGCAUGUUUGUCGUAUGCAUCAAUUCUUAUGUUCUGCUGAAACAUUGAGGAAAACCAAAUGGCUUACCCUGAUUGCAUAGUCAUUAGCAUAAGAGAUACUUGUCUUGUCCUUAAUGAAAAAUGGUUGUUCAUUUCCUUCACCUCAUAGUUUGAGGUAUGAUGUGGUACCAUUAUGAAAUAAUGAUGAAUAUUUUAUUCUAGAUUGCAACUUAAUCUAUGAUACAGAAGCUUAAACUACUUCUUAUUGAUGAGUUAAACCGUUAGGGAUUCACGUUGAUUUCACCUUUGCAUGACUGAAAGAAUCCAUUAUUUCCCUUAUAUUCUUCUUUAAAGUUUUAUGAUUCAACGUAAUGUACCAUACGUUGAUGAGAGCUUGAAAAUUUUGUGCUGAUGUGUAUAUCUUUGUCUGUGAUAUAUUACACGCACCUAUCUACUCUUGCCAUUUUUCUUCUAAUAAAAGAGAUUUAUGAAUCAGUGUAUGACACCACACGCUGAUGAGAUCUUGCAAUACUAUGUCGAUGAAUGAUGGUUUAAACCUACACUAUUAGGAGCCAUCAUAAUCCUUUACUACAAAGCUGCAUCACCGAUACUCUCCUUCACUUUUGUUCUCCUACUGAUAUCAAAAGGGGGAGAACUGGAUAUUCAACUAGGAGUUAAAGGGAACGUGCUAAAUUUGUGGGGGAGUUAAGCUAAAGGGAACUAUUCUCAAUUUAAGGGGGAGUUAAGUUGAUUGUUGAUAUUUUCAUCCUCAACUAAUCGUGUCUUUGUUAGUUUGUUGUUCUUCAUAACCAUGUCAAAUUUGUUAUCUCAACUGCUUGAAAAAUAAAAAAUGGGAAGUCACUUUUAUUCUCAGGGGGAGCACUCAUUAACAUUGAUGAGUUAAACAUUCAUUCCUAUUCUCAAGGGCAGAAUGACUAAAGAAUUCAUUGAAGAUUAGUUUUGGCAUCAUCUGAUAGGGGGAGACUGUAAGGUCACACCUUAUGAUCUGAUGAGUCAAACACUCUACACUACCUAUCAAUGUCAGCCUCAACUACGACGACAUCGCCAACAUAUCAUGCUUAUCUGUGUUAGCGUAUAACAUAGUUAUUCUAUGUAUUCUUGUGUAUAUUAGGUAAUGAUAUAGAUAAUUAUAAAAUAGACCAUAGAUCCAGUAUCUUUGUGAUCAGAUCGGUUCUUAUACAAUCCAUUUAAUCAUGGGAUUGAUAUGUAUAGAUAAGUAUAUAUACAACAUUAGGGAAAACCCUAAAGUUGUGAGAACACGGCUUGGUGUCGUAUUUGUCUUUGGGACAACUGUCUUCUUGGUGAGGACAAAACCUUUAUUAUGGUGAAAGAAACAAUUUGGAGAACUCUCUGCGUCUUUUAAUUAUGUUCUUUAUUUUUUGUUCUUUAAGUUUCUCUUUAGUCUUUAUACUUGAAGUGUAUCUGAUCAAUACAAACCUUCAAUCAUUUUCUUCAUUAAGGGUUUAAUCCUUAAAAACAUAGACUCAUAACCUCAAAUCUGGUAAUUAAUAGCUUCAUAAUGGAUAAAGUUUCCAACUUUAUCAAUUAGGAUGGCCUAAACAACCAAGAUCUUGACUUUAAGUCUUAAAGGCGCCAAGAAUAUAUCGUUCUCAACUUAAUCCAUUAAGUGCAGGUCUCCAACCUUCAUAUCUAAAUGAACAUGAUGUUUAGAUGGAUAAAGCUUCCAACUUUAUCCAUAAUAAUGCCACACACUUUCAAGAUCUAAAUUUUAAUACACCAAAAUGACCUAAAGGACCAAGAUAACUUGCAUGACUUAAAGGGAAGGCAAAAGUUCAUAACUUUCCUAGUCCAUGAGCUCCAAAAAGCAAUCCAAGCUGAUUAAAAGAUGAUAGAGUCCACUCAAAUCCAAGAUCACCCAUAAAAUGGACCAAAAGUGAAUAAAAGGGACCAUUAGCAAGAUCUAACAACUAGAAAGGAAAUGUUACAGCUUUUUAAUUAUAAAAGUCCAAAAAAGGUAUGAAAUUUAUGGAUCCAAGCUUGAAAAAAUAUUCCUUGCAACCAACUAGACUUUCUUGAUCUUCAGUCUUCAUCAAAUCACCACCAAAAUGCACCCAAAAAUGAUUCAAGGAGAUAGGAUAAGCUCACUUUACUCAAAGGAGGCUAGGGUUUCACUUAAGGAAUGAUAUAGAGGUUUUGGAGGCUAGAAAUGAUCAAACCAUAAGAGUAAUAGCCUUUAAAUACCUCAAAAAAUCUUAGAAAACGUGGAUGCCACUAGGCCAGGGGUGCCUCACACUUUUAAAGGGCGCUUCACGUUUUCCGAUAAACUCUAGAUUUUUCUGGUUUUCAACUUCAGUUUCAAAACGAUCGUAACUCCGUUUCAGUGAUCUUUAUAUGUGCACCAAUGUAUUGACAAGCCUUACGGUUCUAUCUACUUAUUUUUGUCUUAAAUCAUACAUAAAUUAAUUUAUUAGUACACACAAAAGUAUAGAAUAUUACUUUUCCCAAUUUACCCAUUUUGCUCCAAUGCAUAGUUUGAGGGAUUAAAACACUUAACCAACAUUAUUAACAUCGAAUAAGGUUUAAAAUCUAUUCCUUUGAACCCACGACCUUUGAUGUGUGCAAACUCACUUAGUUUUAAACCUACUUUUAAUUAUCAAAUAACACACAAAAGGCAGUGAACCUAUCAAUUGUGGUAUAGCUAAAUAAGUAGGGUAUCGAACACAGGGAACGACAAAUUAAACUAAAAACUAAUUUAAUCUAAGUUAAUUAAGAAGUAGGGGUUUUUCUCUAGUUUUACAAGACUAGAAACUUACUAACUAUUACUAAUUUAAGACUAGAAAAUAACGAUUUAACUACAUUUAAUAAUUGGAAAGGAACUUCUGUUUAGUUCAACUUGGUUAACUCUAUGGUUGAUUUCAAGGUAAUAGUGCAAUGGAUUAAUUCUUUCGUUGGUUACCGAUUCAAGUGAUUAGAUUCGUGUUCACUACCCUAAUCCUUAGCAAAUAAACUAACUCAAACAGUGGCCAAUUGUCUAAUUUAAUUAUAUUCACUAGAUUAAUUAUUCGGGUUAAGUUAGACUUGCAAUAGUUAACUAAUUUAUUCUUUUUAAUUAACCUCUUGUUUGAUAGUCAUCUUACAAGCUUGCACAUGAAUUUACUCAAUUUUCUUAUUAAUUCUAGUUUCAUAUUCAUUAAUCCUAGACAUAUAGCAUAGUGAUCACAUAGCAUAUGAGGUCAAUAAUCAAUAGAUGUUCAUGCUAAUCAAUUAUCUUCCUAUUAACAGAAAAUUAAUUAUUAUUCACACACAAGGUUCUUUAACAAGCUAAAAUAACAAAAAUUCACCAACUUGGAAUUGAUCCUACCAAUCAAUCAAACCAUAUUGUCAACUUUGUAUCCCCAAACAGAAGUCUAAAGGUUUUAGCUCAUAAUUAAAGUAAAUAACAGCAGACAAACAAAGUCAAGUUGCUUAAUCAUAAUGAAUAAACAAAAGAAUAAAUGGAAUGAUGAAAUUUUGCCUUAAUUACUCUCCGGAAUUGAAUUCUAGCUUCCUUCGUCGUCUUCUAGGGUUUUUCUGGCUUCUCAAUCGUAGCAAAGCACUUCUGAAUCGUCCCAGAACUCUCCUCAAUCGAUCUGUGGAAUUAUCUUUAAAUAUACGAAUCGACUCGUCGAGUCCCUCUCACAUUCCCCGUAUUGCGAUAACUCUCUGGGAUCCCGAGUCAUUAUCUUCUCGAUUCUUCGAUUGGACUCGCCGAGUAGUCGAUCUGACUCGCCGAGUAGGUUCCUUUUAUAGUGUUUUUAUUCUUUAUUCCAUUCUCGAUCUUCUAACUGUUUCUCCCGCUUCCUUUCGCUUCCGAGCUUCAUCUUUGGACUGAAAAACAUAAUUUAACACUUUUAAGUACCUUUUGUCCAUAAUAUGCGAUAAUUAAGCUAAUAAAUGAAUAAAAAUGUAUACUUAAUAUGAACUAAUUAUGCACAUAUCAACCUUUUCUCGGUCAAAUCACGAUCCAUUAUCCUGAAAUCAGGACCAUUCGAAACUAGAUGUUACAGUUUGGCUUGUGGGUUUCGAAUAUGGGUGCUCGAAGGCCCGGUUUAUGAAAAUAAAUUUCCUAAUGUGGCAAAAAUACUUUGCAAAAUUACUCCAAAACCCUUUAGCUUUAAUUUAAUUAUAUAAAUUGUCCUAUGGAAACACAAAUGUAUUCUUUUAUUCAAAAUUACAAUUUAAAUUUUGUUAAUAAGGUUAACAUGUACUCAAAUAAAAUUUAAUAUUUAAGGGUUAUAAUUAUGGGUUUACGGGUUAUGGUUUAUCGCUUAUAAAUUACAUUGUAUGGUCUACGGUAUAAGACUUAGUGUGUAUAGUUUAUAGUUUACAAUGUAGGGCGUAAGGCUCAAUACAUAUGCAAUGUAACAUUUAAGGGUUACAAGCAAUACGUACGUCGUAAGCUAUAACCACUAGACCUCAAUCCUAAACCCCUAGGCACAAAAAUAUACAGGAAACCAUAUGGAGCUCAUCAAAAUACCAACAUAAUUUCAUUCCAUAACAAUAAUUGUAACAAAACACAACAGUUAAUUUACUCCAGAUCUAAAUAGUAAUGAAUUUGAACUCCUCAACAAAUUUGAUCAAAAAUUUAAUUUCGUAGUGAAAUUCCUAACAAUGUAGCUAGGCCUUUUUUCCAUAGUAAACAAGCAACAUAAAUAAAAUUUUGUAUCAUAAUUUCGUAGGUAAAUAGAUAUGAAUGCUACUUCCAUAGCAUAGUAACUAUGGGAUUUCUUUCCAUUAGAAAAUUCAACUUCAAAUUAACCAUAAUAUUUAAUUUGGUGGCAAAAUUACAAUGGAAUGUAUUUUCGUAAACAAAUUCGUUGCAAAUUUGUCACACCCCAAAAAUCAAAGGCGGAAACAUUUUCGGGGUUGACUCCAAGUUGUGUAUCAAAUCCAAUGUACAUAGUAAUCACAGUAAACAACCAUUACAUUACAUAUAUAUGAAAGUUUACAUUUGGUUCAAAAGUAAAUUGUACAAAAGUUAUACAUAUAUCAUAUGAACAAAACGAGACGAGUCUUCCACGCACUCUAUCUUCACCAAAAGAGAUCACUGGGUACCUGUCUAAUGUGUACCUGAGAAUACAAGUAGUUUGAAAAUCAGCAUAAAGCUGGUGAGUUCAUAAGCGGUUUUGUUUUAUGAAAAUGUAUUGGUUUCCUUUAGUUUUCCGAAAAGGUUUGGUAUCCAAGAAAAUCCCAUAUUUUCUUAUGUUUCUCAGUUUAGUUAUCUUUCGUCAUAGUUCAGUUACACGUUAUAUGUUAACCCCAGGAAAAUCCCAUAUUUUCCUAAAUGUAAGAUUGAUUGAAUAACACAAAGUAUAGUUUAAUACACAAACUAUAUAUUGAAAAUCAUGGGAUUACUAUCCCGAAUCAGAUAUGAAGUACUUUAAUAUACAUGAAUUGUAGAUAAAAUGUAGUUUGAAAACCUUGGGACUAUCAUCCCGAACUAGUUAUAAGAUAGUUUGAUAUACUUGAAAUUAUAGAUUGAAAACCAUGGGAAUACUAUCCCGAACUAGAUAUAAGAUUGUUUGAUAAAACCAUGGGAUCACUAUCCCGAACUAGAUAUAAGAUAGAUGGAUAAAGCCAUGGGAUUAUUAUCCCGUACAAGAUAUAGGUUGAAAUCAUGGGACUAUCAUCCCGUACUAGAUACAAGUUCGAUAGACUGAAAACCAUGGGACUACCAUCCCGGACUAGAUACAUGAUAGUUUGAUAAAACCAUGGGAUCACUAUCCCGAACUAGAUAUAUAUUCUAAAACCAAAGCUGUGAAUAAACUUAUAUUAAUACAUAUUGUAAGUCGGGUAACCAUGUUGAUAUGACAACGAGACCUCCCUGACGUUAGUCAGACAUCGGACGAUAUCCAGAAUUUGUCACCCCAGGCGUGCCCGCCUAACUGUAGCUAGCAGUUAAGGUGUGGGAUUGUCAGUCCCGAAUAGAUCUAUUCACAAAUUCCUCGCUCUCCCUCCAGGAGACUCUGGUUACACUUCCGGGGAGGAUUUACUGAUCAUCCAUAAAGGGUAGUGACUACUCACAAACUAGUACUAAACUAUUCACAGGAUUCUCAUACGAUAUCAAACAUACAAAGAUUAUGAAACAUNNNNNNNNNNNNNNNNNNNNNNNNNNNNNNNNNNNNNNNNNNNNNNNNNNNNNNNNNNNNNNNNNNNNNNNNNNNNNNNNNNNNNNNNNNNNNNNNNNNNNNNNNNNNNNNNNNNNNNNNNNNNNNNNNNNNNNNNNNNNNNNNNNNNNNNNNNNNNNNNNNNNNNNNNNNNNNNNNNNNNNNNNNNNNNNNNNNNNNNNNNNNNNNNNNNNNNNNNNNNUUUAGGCUCGCGAGCCUAAUCGAGCUUUGUGACAUAGGCUUUAGCUCGGGCUCGUUUAAUAAACAAGCUUAAUAUUAAGCUCGAGCUCGGCUCGGGCUCGUUUAAAAUCGGUUUCGAGUCGAGCUUUUAACGAUCCGAUCUCGAGUAGCUCGCGAGUAGCUUGGCUCGUUUGCACCCCUACAUAAAGGGUAGUGACUACUCACAAACUAGUACUAAACUAUUCACAGGAUUCUCAUACGAUAACAAACAUACAAAGAUUAUGAAACAUAAUACAGUGAGAAUAGAUACAUACUAUGAAAUUAUCUGGAAAUACAUUCAAAUGAUACGGAGAUAAACUGAAUGAGACAUAGUUUAUGUAAUAACUUUAUACAUAUGUCAGUACAUGAUAGAAAGAGAACUAUAGAACCCCAAAUUAUUCCCAUAAUAAUUUGAUUAGUUUGGUUAUUUUCUUAACUAAAAUCCAUUUAGUUGUAAUUGAUAAAUCAUUCCUUAUGCUCAGUAUAAUACAUAAGGAGUAAAAGUGUUUAUAAGUUUGCCAGAUAUUAUUUAAUACAUAUCAAUAUUAUGAUUUGAAAAUAGUUAUAGUUUGCUUGUAUUCCCCCCCUGAAAACAUUGAAAAACACAGAAAAGGCGUAGGGGUAUGAACUCACCGGACGAGAAAUGUGACGAUUUGGUUGCUAAGUGUUGGUCCGGGGCUUGCAAACACACGAGGUUCCUAAGUAUAAUGUAAAGAUACACAUUUGUAUCUAAUUAGGACUUAGAUUGAUUAUUUGAUAGGGACAAUUGCUUCUAGUCGCGAAAACACCCCGAUACAAAUGUUUGGAGGGACCCGGGUAACAUUUGGGGACACAUAUAGUUAGGAUAUUGAAUUGGGACUCCAAAAGAACACUCCUUAGGGAGUUUACGGCCCUAAUGACCCUCUCCCCAUGAGUUUACGGCCGUAAACUCAUGGUGGGGUGAUUUAUGGCACAAAAUGGCUUGAAACAUUUAGGGGAUAAUUUCUAGGCUUGGUUUAAGGGCUUGGAAUUAUUUUUAAACACCAAAAUGACAUACAUAAGGGAGUUUACGGCCUAGCAUAGGAAUCAUGGCCGUAAACUCUCAAAUAUCCAUGAAUAAGUGUGUUAUUGGUUCCAAACAAAUCACAUGUGAUUGCUAAAAUUAUUCCAAGGCCUUACAUGAGUUUUUAUGGGACUUUUGAGGAGUUUUUGGAGUUUACGGCCCAUGAGACCCCCUCAUGGCCGUAAACUCUCCUAUAGAGGGAUUCCUUGUGUUUUAAGGCCAAAAACCUGUUUGUAUGCACUUUUAGAAAUUAUUCCAAUGCUUUAGGGGUGUUAAAGUGGCUUUCUAACACCUUAAAAUGAGUUUACACCGUGUUUCAAGGAGUUUACGGCCCAAGCACAUGCCUUGGCCGUAAACUCAUAUAAGUCCUCCAAAAAUUAUGUUUAAAGUGUUCCGAGGCUAAAGCAAUUAUUCUAGAAGUCAUAUCCAUGUCUUGUUGAGGUUUUGGAAGGGUUUAAGGGCUUUAAAACCCUUUAAUCAUGAGUUUACGGCCUAAACACCAUCCUUGGCUGUAAACUCAUAUAUAAGUCCCCAAAUUAUAGAUUAAGGCAUUCUAGGUCCAUUUCAUAAAGUCAUUAAGCCAUAUCUAAGUCCCAAAAUUGUUUAGGAGGGGUUUAANUUGUGUUUUGGAAGGGUUUUUGUGCUCCAAAACCCAUUUCAUAUGAGUUCACGGCCUAGGACUAUUCCAGGGCCGUAAACUCAUGAAUGUGGUCCUAUUCCAUGUUUUGAACUCGAAUUUGAAGGCUAAGGAGGUUACAUAUCAAGUUAGGGAAGGUACCUCAAAGAUUUGGAGCCUAAAAUUGAUGAUUUGGACCCUUAAACUUGGAUUUUAGGAGAGAGGUUAGAGAGAGAGAGUAGAGAGAGGAAGAAAAAGCUUCAAAUGAAUGUUUAAACACGUUUAUAUAGUUCCCAAAACUUGGACAUAGAGGAAUUCUACCCGAUACCGGCCUUAAACGAGGUUUUAGGUCACACCCGAUUAAGUUUCCGUCACCCGGCGGGGACGUUUCUAAAAAUUAUGAAAUAAAUAUUUUUGGGCUAGAUUCAUGAGUUCCUAAAAGGUUUGGACACUCAUUGGAUUAAAAUAAACAUAUACAUUUAACUAACUAAACCCAAAAACGACAUCGGAAUGUUUCGACAUACGACGAGUUAUACGGGUAGAAUGGGUUUUCGGCGAUGAACAACUUCGGGUUGUUACAUUAUCCCCCCGUUAGAGGGAAUUUCAUCCUGAAAUUCAAAGAAUAAGAUAUAGAUCAUGAAUUUGGAAUGAGACACGAAUAGAUUUGUUGCCUCAGAUCUUCACUUUCUCAAGUGGAAUCAGGUCUCUAUUGGGCGUUCUAACGAAUUCUCAUUAUCGGGACGUGUCUUUGUUUCGUACUUUGACUCUCUCUCAAUCUAUGACAUCAAUUGGUUUUCUCAUGGAAGUUCCAACCCUGGACGACUUUGGUUUCCUCAAGGAAUCACUAUGGUUUCGUUGGGUAGAUGCUUCUAAGGAUUCGAGACAUGAUGUACUAGAUAGAUGUUAGCAAGCUCUAAGGGCAUCCGAAAUCUGAAGGUUGCAGAAUCGAUUUCUACAAAGAUCUCGAAGGGUCUGAUGUGAGACUAAACUAGACGUUCGAAAGAAACUCCCGGGAAUCCUUCGGGAUAGACAUUUAGAGGAAAGAGCUGUUAACUUCCCGUUUCUCAAUAAUCACAGAAAUGAGGGAUGUUUGGUAAUUCAUAUCGGGAAAACUUUUGAGUUCUAAGGCAUGGAAUGAUACGAAGGUUUGAUGCCAAAGAUCACGAGUACCGGGUCGAGAAAAGACCUAGACGAGCAACCCUUUCGAAACCAAGGAUAACAACAUGAAUGAGACUCGGUCAUUUCAUGUUAAACAUAGCAUCAAAGUAUUUUUGUAGAAAGUUUCCCUCUUUUUAAAUCGAAUGGAACAGAAUAGUCCUCCGGACUGAGGAUUCAAUCUAUAGGUACGAAGUUAGCGUUCUCUAUCUCACUGGUUAGUCAUCUCGACGGUACAUAUUUCGAUUACAUACGAAGGAUUGAGCUUAGAAAAUGUUCGAAUAGAUAGAUAACAGGUUUCCCUUUUUGUACUAAAAUCGAAAAGAGUUACAGGUAUAAGAAUUAUCAAAGAGAAGUAUACCUGCGGCGACAGAGGGAUCAGUAGUCGUAGCUGCCUUGGGGCAAUUCCUUUAGAAGUGCCCAGCUUCACCACAAUUGUAACAGACCGGACUAAUUCCCGCUCCGGAUGAUUGGUUCGUUGAUUUGGCUGGUUUUCUGCAUGUUCGAGCAAGGUGGCCCUUAUUGCCACAGUUGUCGCAGAUCCUUUCGCGACAUGGACCAGGAAUGCGGUGGUGGUAGUUGCACUUACCACACCAAGGAAGGGUACCAGUGUAUCCANNNNNNNNNNNNNNNNNNNNNNNNNCGCUCUUCCGAUCUAGCAACAGGGGCAGUAGUAGCAUGGACUGCUACUGUUUGCUGUUUCUUAGAAGACCCUUGCGUACUCUGGCCCUUCGGCUUGUUCCAAGAUUUCUUUUUGCUUCUGCCUCCACUGGUGACUGGCUCGGGAGUAGUAGCUUCCUCAUCAAAGUUGUCUUCGUGAUCGAUCAAGAUUUUCGCAAGACAUUUAGCGCUGUCAUAUGUGUCUAGCUUUGCAGCUAAGACAUUACCUUUUGUUGGCUGGGUCAACCCCCAGAUGAACCUCUCAAUCUUUUUACUCUCCGGGGUAACCAUUCCCGGACAGAGUAACGCCAGAUCAUCGAAUCUUGAAGUAUAAGCAGCUAUGUCGGAACCCUUCAUCUUAAGGUUCCAAAGUUCGUGUUCUAGCUUCUGGAGUUCACCCCGAGGGCAAUAUUCUGCGAGUAGAAGCUCCUUCAUAGCUUCCCAACCCAUAGCAUUCGCUACAGGUAAAGUUAAAGAUUUGACUCGGCCGUUCCACCAAGUCAGGGCUUUGUCUAGGAAGGUGCAGGCGGCAAACUUUACUCUAUCAGACUCCGAACAGGCGCAUAUUUCAAAGAUUGAUUCGAUUUUCUCGAACCAUCGGGUUAAAGCAAUGACACCCCCUGUGCCAUCAAAGGAUGUCGGUUUUGCAUUCAUGAAGUCUUUAUAGGAACCCCCUUUUUGGUGUCCCUGGCUAUCUUCUGGGUUUUAGGGUUGGGGACCACCUCCUGAGUUACCAGGGUUCAUUUGCGACAUGGCUGCUACCAUUGCAGCAGUCAGAACUGUCUGAAGUGAUGCAAGAUCAAAUUGAGGAGGAGGUGGUGGCGGAGGAGGAUUGCUGUUGUUCUUUGAGCUGGGUCUCUUUCUUGGAGGCAUCUUGAUCUAAAAAGAUCAGAAAAGAGAGGAUCAUAAGUCCUUUGAAUUGAAUCAAGAGAUAAGAAACAGAGGAUAUCUCUUCAAGACAGAUAUAGCAUCAUACAAAGCGAUAAAGCAGGAAGGAGUUAUCAAGACAGAACAUUUUAUCGCUAAAGGAAUGAUCAAGGAAUAAUGCGUAUAUGAGAACUUUCUACCAAGGGUUGGCUCGAGAAAUACUCCCAUAGUAUUUCAUAGUUUGCUGCAGCGACGAUUCGUUGUUUGGGAUAUUGGGUAUGUUUUAGGCAUGCUGCGUACCACAGUCACUCCCAAGCACAUGUUGGCCGUGUCUCGAAUGAAUAUAGUUGGCCAGGCUAUAUUGAUCCUAGACACGACUACAUAACUGCUCAAGUUUAACCGCAGUGUACAACACCUAUUUACUUAUGUUUUGUUCUACUUGUAGUUACGGAUCUCGACGGUUCGGUAUACUUGUAUACUUUUGAAAAUACUUAUAGUUUGAAGAUACUUUUAAUUCAGAGCACUGAGGCCCUUUAGUGUUUAUAGUUUUAUACCAUGUAAGGUUUGGUAUACUCUAUUCACUAUAAACAAGGGCUCUGAUACCAAUCUGUCACACCCCGAAAACCNGGUUGACUCCAAGUUGUGUAUCAAAUCCAAUGUACAUAGUAAUCACAAUAAACAACCAUUACAUUACAUAUAUAUGAAAGUUUACAUUUGGUUCAAAAGUAAAUUGUACAACAGUUAUACAUAUAUCAUAUGAAAAAAACGAGACGAGUCUUCCACGCACUCCGUCUUCACCAAAAGAGAUCACCGGGUACCUAUCUAAUGUGGACCUGAGAAUACAAGAAGUUUGAAAAUCAGCAUAAAGCUGGUGAGUUCAUAAGCGGUUUUGUUUUAUGAAAAUGUAUUGGUUUCCUUUAGUUUUCCGAAAAGGUUUGGUAUCCAAGAAAAUCCCAUAUUUUCUUAUGUUUAUCAGUUUAGUUACCAUUCGUUACAGUUCAGUUACGCGUUAUAUGUUAACCCCAGGAAAAGCCCAUAUUUUCCUAAAUGUAAGAUUGAUUGAAUAACACAAAGUAUAGUUUAAUACACAAACUAUAUAUUGAAAAUCAUGGGAUUACUAUCCCGAAUCAGAUAUGAAGUACUUUAAUAUACAUGAAUUGUAGAUAAAAUGUAGUUUGAAAACCUUGGGACUAUCAUCCCGAACUAGUUAUAAGAUAGUUUGAUAUAUUUGAAAUUAUAGAUUGAAAACCAUGGGAAUACUAUCCCGAACUACAUAUAAGAUUGUUUGAUAAAACCAUGGGAUCACUAUCCCGAACUAGAUAUAAGAUAGAUGGAUAAAGCCAUGGGAUUAUUAUCCCGUACAUGAUAUAGGUUGAAAUCAUGGGAAUAUUAUCCUGUACUAGAUACAAGUUCGAUAGACUGAAUACCAUGGGACUACCAUCCCGGACUAGAUACAUGAUAGUUUGAUAAAACCAUGGGAUCACUAUCCCGAACUAGAUAUAUAUUCUAAAACCAAAGCCGUGAAUAAACUUAUAUUAAUACAUAUUGUGAGUCGGGUAACCAUGCUGAUACGACAACGAGACCUCCUUGACGUUAGUCAGACGUCGGACGAUAUACAGAAUUUGUCACCCCAGGCGUGCCCGCCUAACUGUAGCUAGCAGUUAAGGUGUGGGAUUGUCAGUCCCGAAUAGAUCUAUUCACAAAUUCCUCGCUCUCCCUCCAGAAGACUCUGGUUACACUUCCGGGGAGGAUGGGUAGUGACUACUCACAAACUAGUACUAAACUAUUCACAGGAUUCUCAUACGAUAACAAACAUACAAAGAUUAUCAAACAUAAUACAGUGAGAAUAGAUACAUACUAUGAAAUUAUCUGGCAAUACAUUCAAAUGAUACGGAGAUAAACUGAAUCAGACAUAGUUUAUCUAAUAAUAUUAUACAGAUAUCAGUACAUGAUAGAAAGAGAACUACAGAACCCCAAAUUAUUCCCAUAAUAAUUUGAUUAGUUUGGAUAUUUUCUUAACUAAAAUCCAUUUAGUUGUAAUUGAUAAAUCAUUCCUUAUGCUCAGCAUAAUACAUAAGGAGUAAAAGUGUUUAUAAGUUUGCCAGAUAUUAUUUGAUACAUUUCAAUAUUAUGAUUUGAAAACAGUUAUAGUUUGCUUGUAUUCCCCCCCUGAAAACAUUGAAAAACACGGAAAAAGGCGUAGGGGUAUGAACUCACCGGACGAGAAAUGUGACGAUUUGGAUGCUAAGAGUUGAUCCGGGGCUUGUAAAUACACGAGGUUCCUAAUUAUAAUGUAAAGAUACACAUUUGUAUCUAAUUAGGACUUAGAUUGAUUAUUUGAUAGGGACAAUUGCUUCUAGUCGCGAAAACACCCCGAUACAAGUGUUUGGAGGGACCCGGGUAACAUUUGGGGACACAUAUAGUUAGGAUAUUGAAUUGGGACUCCAAAAGAACACUCCUUAGGGAGUUUACGGCCCUAAUGACCCUCUCCCCAUGAGUUUACGGCCGUAAACUCAUGGUGGGGUGAUUUAUGGCACAAAAUGGCUUGAAACAUUUAGGGGAUAAUUUCUAGGCUUGGUUUAAGGGCUUGGAAUUAUUUUUAAACACCAAAAUGACAUACAUAAGGGAGUCUACGGCCUAGCAUAGGACUCAUGGCCGUAAACUCUCAAAUCUCCAUGAAUAAGUGUGUUAUUGGUUCCAAACAAAUCACAUGUGAUUGCUAAAAUUAUUCCAAGGCCUUACAUGAGUUUUUAUGGGACUUUUGAGGAGUUUUUGGAGUUUACGACCCAUGAGACCCCCCUCAUGGCCGUAAACUCUCCUAUAGAGGGAUUCCUUGUGUUUUAAGGCCAAAAACCUGUUUGUAUGCACUUCUAGAAAUUAUUCCAAUGCUUUAGGGGUGUUAAAGUGGCUUUCUAACACCUUAAAAUGAGUUUACACCGUGUUUCAAGGAGUUUACGGCCCAAGCACAUGCCUUGGCCGUAAACUCAUAUAAGUCCUCCAAAAAUUAUGUUUAAAGUGUUCCGAGGCUAAAGCAAUUAUUCUAGAAGUCAUAUCCAUGUCUUGUUGAGGUUUUGGAAGGAUUUAAGGGCUUAAAAACCCUUUAAUAAUGAGUUUACAGCCUAAACACCAUCCUUGGCCGUAAACUCAUAUAUAAGUCCCCAAAUUAUAGAUUAAGGCAUUCUAGGUCCAUUUCAUAAAGUCAUUAAGCCAUAUCUAAGUCCCAAAAUUGUUUAGGAGGGGUUUAAAGGCAUAAAAACCCACUUAUUAUGAGUUUACGGCCUAAGCUCCUUCCAGGGCCGUAAAAUCAUAUACAAGGUCUUAAAUCAUGAUUAAAUCUCUAAUUUGAAGGUCAAAGAUGCUAUACAAUGAGUUUAGGAAAGUACCUUAAAGAUUUGAGGCCUUAAAAUUGAGUUUUGGACCCUUAAACUUGGAAUUAGGAGAGAGGUUAGAAAGAGAGUAGAGAGAGGAAGAAAAAGCUUCAAAUGAAUGUUUAAACAUGUUUAUAUAGUUCCCAAAACUUGGACAUGGAGGAUUUCUACCCGAUACCGGCCUUAAACGAGGUUUUAGGUCGCACCCGAUUAAGUUUCCGUCACCCGGCGGGGACGUUUCUAAAAAUUAUGAAAUAAAUAUUUUUGGGCUAGAUUCAUGAGUUCCUAAAAGGUUUGGACACUCAUUGGAUUAAAAUAAACAUAUAAAUUUAACUAACUAAACCCAAAAACGACAUCGGAACGUGUCGACAUAUGGCGAGUUAUACGGGUAGAAUGGGUUUUCGGCGAUGAACAACUUCGGGUUGUUACAAAAUUUGCUCCGAAUGUUUAUUCCAUAGAACUAUUGGUGGCAAUAUAGCACCAGAUUUAGAUUCGUUAAUAGUUUCCGUAGAAAUUCCCAUGUUUGCUUUCGAAAAUUCAUUUCGUAGAAAAUGUGAUAACAAAUUAGUUGUGGAACAACAUUCUAUACGAGCAAUCCGUUGCAGAAUACCAACAGAAAGAAGUUCCAUAGAAACUUUUCUUUUAGUGUUGGGUGAUUCUAAAAUUGUUUUUCUCUAAUUCAUUUUCUCUCUCUCUCUCUCUCUCUCUCUCUAUCUCUCUCUCUCUCUCUAUCUUCUCUCCAUGAAACCCUUAUCAAAUGCUGUUCCAGAUUCAUCACCAUGCUCUAAUUUCGGUAUUUUCUCUAACUGUCAAUCAUUCUUUGGUUUCCUGUCUUAAGAUGAUUUGCUAGGAAUAUGGAUUUUUUUAUGAGACAAAAGUGGAGACACAUCUGUCUUUUUAGCUGUUAUGUCCCUUUCCCGGAGAUCACACCUCUAGUGAAAAGUGAAAAACAACCAUAGAGUGUGAAGUUAUUAUUUGUGGGACGUUGUGCACAAAAAGUGUUUGACGAAAUGCGUUAGUAUGAUUAUUUUUCUUGUAACAUAAGGAUUUAUGUAGUAACUCAUUUUAUGACCAGUAUGUGUGGAAAUGGAAAUGUACGACAAUUGUCCAUUUUGCCCUGAGGUAAAAUGUUUCAACCUAUUGUAUUCAAGUUAGAAACUAUUUCUUGAAUUUGAGAGAAAUUGUAACACUCUAAAUUUUCAAACAAAAUUUUUCAUUUUUAAAACACAUAAAAGUCAAUAUUACAUUUCACAAAAAUCAUAAAUGUAUUGGCUUUCAAAACACAUUUCAAUAAUAUGACUGAUAACAUCCCAGAAUCCUCAAACAUAAUCUCGAACAGGUGUGUACAAUCAAGCCGGUGCCUUCCCGCGAUCCUAUGAAGUACCUGAAACAUAUAUCACACAACAUGGUAUGCACGAAGCUUAGCGAGUUCCCCAAAAUACCACAUACACAAAUAAUAAGCCUCUCAUGGCUAUAGCUCGGCAUGGACCCUCUGGUCAUGCAUCUCAAUGAGGACCCUUUGGUCUCACGGCUUGGUGUGGACCCUCUGUCAUGUGUCUCAGUGAAGACCCUUCGGUCUUACAACUCGGGUUAGACCCUCCGGUCCUGUAUCUCAGUGAAGACCCUCCGGUGUCAUAAUUUGUUUUGGACCCUCCGUUCCUAACUCGGUAAAGCACAGAAUAAUACAACAUAUAUCACAAAGCAAAAUGCAUAAUAUCACAUAACUCAAUAUAAGCACAUAGGACCCUCCGAUCGAUAACUCAAAUAAGACCCUCCGAUCACAUAAUAUUAUCGCUCAGGUAAGUAUAGUGAGAAGACUCACCUUGUAAUUAAGCAAGUAGAUCUAGUACCCCAUGAAUAGUCUAGACUUCGCCUACAUAAUAUAAUCAUCUCUAAUUAACACUUUAUAACCACAACUCUAAAAGAUUAGGCUAACCCCCCUAUUCUCACUCUUGGAAAGGGUGAAAGACUAUUUUACCCCUCCAUGGUCUUCUUUACUAAUGUCUUGACCAAACCUUAAAAGUCAACAGAAGUCGACGCUCGAGUCAACAGUCCAUGUUGACCCCACUCGUCGAGUUCCUCCUGUUUUCAUAAAAUCGGGAAAACUCCAACUCAACUCAUCGAGUUGUCUCAUCAACUCGCCGAGUUGUAGUGCGUCAAAACUAUUGGGGAAAACCCUAAUCGACUCGUCGAGUUGACUCAUCCACUCGUCGAGUCCCUUAAGUGCAUCUCUCAUUCAGACGAUUUUAAGCAAAACUAAAGCCCCAAACUCUAGAUCUAGCCUCCCAAGGCUAAAAUACCAAGUAAAGUUGAAAGAUUUACGUCCAUGCAUGGCACCUAGGGCUCAAACUGUUAAAACAAAGCUGUAUGGAGGCUUAAUGCAUAAAUCUUGUCCAAUAUCUUGAUAAAUAUUGAAUCUUUAGGCCCAAAGGACCUCAUACUGCGCAGAUCUGAAGAUUCAACUUCAUGGCAUGCUCAACAACUCAAAGGUUCAAAAAGGAAGAUGGAAAUGCUCACAAACUCCCUAAGAAGAGAUCUAAUUAAACAAUGAUCAAGGUGAUAACUUUUUAUUUCCAAAAAGUAGCUAGCACUGAAAGAACACUGGAUCCAGAGGCUUAUUCUCGUCCCAAGCCUUAUGCUCUUUUAUAUCCUUCCAAGAAUGCACCAAGUCACACACUUUUACUCUCUCUCUCUCUCUCAGAUGAUACCAGCUUGUUUAGGGUUUCUCUCAAGGUGUCAAAAUGAUCAGGGAGGUGAAAAUGAAGGCUUAAGGUCCUUUCAGUAUGACACAAACCUUGAAAAUUAGGGUUUUCACAAUCAACUCCUACUCGUCGAGUUGGGGUUCACCAACUCGUCGAGUAGACUCUAAAAAUUACUCAACCAUUUAUCCCUCUACUCGGCGAGUUGGGGCCUCCAACUCGUUGAGUUGCUCUGACAAUAUGAAUGCAACUUAAUUAAAUAUUAUACCUGGGGCCUCCAACUCGUCGAGUUUGUAUUUUUUAUUUGUAGUUUUUGUUUGAUAAUUGAAGGAUCUUACCAUUUUACCAUGUGAACAUAAAAUACAUUUGGAUUGCAUGGAAGAAAUUUAACAACAUCAUCAAUAUCCUUGCCUUGUUUGUUCACUGAGUUUCGUAAAUCUUUUAAUUGAUCGUGCACUAGAGGUUACAUUAAGUUGAGGCAAACUUAACGGAGAAAACAAGAGAAUUAUAAGAGAGUCGGAGAUGAAAAAGUCCAACCCAUGAAACAAGGUGCUAGGAACUCAAAGCCUGACUUGUAAGAUUUUAAAGAUCUUUUUGGUUGAUCAUUCACUAUAUUGUAUGAGCGAAGCUGCAAAAGAUUUUUUAAGAGAUUAGUGUUUGUGUAUCUCACAUCGGUACGACACGGUCUUAUAAGUGACUAUAUAUGUAGUGUUUCCCUACUCUUCACAAGGGCUCUUUUGGAGAGUUAAUAUGAGGCUCCACAUAUAUUUACAUGGUAUCAGUGUUGACAUCUUACACCCUUAUGGCUUAGCAUAUCCAUGUUUAUCCUCAUCGAGCUUCCGACUUUGAGAGAGAGUGUUAGUGUAUCCCAAAUCGGUGUGACACAGUCUAAUAAGUGACUAUAUAUGUUGGAGUUCUCCUUCUCUCUACAAGGACUGUUUUGGAGAGACAAUCUUGGGCUCCACAUUUAUUUACAAUUAGUUCUUGAUAAAAAUGGUUCUCAUAAAAAAAACUUGUUAGAAAUCCAAUACACGUAUGGUGAAUUGAAGUUGUAGAAACGAGUUGUAGGGUAAAAACUAUUGAACCAGGUGGUUUUCUUUUAAAUUAUCAUGUUCAUGAACCGAAUUAAAUAAUUUUAUUUCGUUUAACCUUAUGAAUUAAAUACUUAUAUUCAGGUUUUAUUUUGACCUUAUUUGUUGAAAUAAUUCAUAGGUUUUAUUUCCAAAAUGGAUUGAAAGCUAGAUUAAAUCACUUGGAAUACACGGGUUGGGUAGUCCACCAUUAAGUAGUGAGAAAACGAUUUCAUAUUGUUUUUAUUCUUGAUUUCUAUGAGAUGUAUAAAGGCUCAUAAUAUUGAAAUAAGCAAGAAGCUAAGAAGGUAACAGAAGCACCAUAUGUAGGAGAAAACUUAUGCAUUUCAGUUAGAAAUUGCAAAACUUAUAAGUUGGUGUCUUUUGCUUAAAUUUAAACCAUUUCUUAUUUGAAUCAAAUAGGAAACCUAUUUAUUUGUGGUUACACCAAUUUGAAGGAUAUUAGUAAAGGUAAUUUUUUUAUGCAAGAAUGUUGGACCUGAACAUACUUCUCCCGACUGCAAGGUGAUUUCGGUUCUUUUUCUAUCACCUACAUCAUCAAAUAGUUUUCCCUUCAACUUUACAGUGCAUAUUUGGUUCGAUAUACGAUAUGUAUUGACAUAUCUUUGUUUUAUCAGAUAUUUUAUAUAUUAUUGGGUUUUUUUUAAUGUUAAUUAUAUACUAGAAGCAUUGUUGUUCCUUGUAGGAAAUAUGGUCACAUUAAGGCUGAACAUACUUCUCCUUUGGAAUUUUUUCUAGAUUAUGUAAAAGAAAGUUAUCAGGACACCCUUAAAAUUUAAGGAUGGAUACCCUUAGAUUUCUAAAUAAAAAGCUAAUAACAAUACUAAAUUUUAAUUUCUAAGUUGCAACAAAUUAUAAACAUGGAAAGUGAGAAAAGAUAGGAAAAAUCAAAAAAUUCCUAAUAAUUUUGACAAAAAGCAUCGAUAAUCAAGAAAUCAACAUCACUGGUUUCUCGAAUAACCCAGUGUUAGUUGCAUCCACAACUCUACGCCUCUCUGAACGGCCGCCACCACUACAUUAUGUUGUUGCUUGCCUCUUCAUUGGGAUCCAUCUCGUUUUCUGUCCAUCUUACUUUUUCAUGUCUCCGUUGUGUCAUCCACCAGAGUCCCAAAAGUAGUUUUGUUCUUGAAAAUCAGGUAAGGUUGUCUUCCUCUUAAAAAUAUGAUGGUGUCUUUAAAGUUUUAAGAUAGAAAAGGAAAGGUAUGCGAGUUCUUCUUUGGGUGUACGGAAUACCCAAGACGAAUCGGCUUGUGGUCUACGUGGCCACAAGCGUUAUAUGUGCACGCUACCCCGGCCAGUCGUGGUCAGGCGUUUUCGUGGUCCAUCAUGAUGCAUUCCACGAACAAGCACGGAAAAUGAGAGACUGGGCCUCCCUCUCUCUCUCUCGUGGUCAUGGAGAGUACUACAUGGCUUUGUGGUGGGUAGUGGUGACUGAUCUGGAAGCUCUCCACGACUGUUGUUAUGGAGAGUAUUGUGGAUGGUCUUAGGUAUGUAAAUUAUAAAAUGAAAGAAAAAUUUUAAAAAUGAGUAGAUAGUCAUAAAUUGUACAAGUAGAUAUAUCUAUCAGUUUACUGUUCAUUUGAUAAAUUGGCUUUAAGUAAUUUUAAAUUCACACUCAAAUAGUUUUUUUUAACUUGUACGUAUAUUACUACUGGUUUUAAUGGUUAGUUAGAGUUUGUAAUGUUAAAUUGUUAAUUCAUUGGUUUUAAAUUUACUAUGAUGUUUUAAAAUUAUUUUUGAUCUUCUAUUAUUAAAUUUAAUAUUAUAUUUGGCAAAAAUGGUAUAAAUUGACAGUCCGACUAGAUAAUUUUUUUUUGACUCUUUUAUUAUGUAUUCCAUUUUGAGUAUGAGACUUGUGAAAUUGAAUAUUAGAUUUACCACUACUUAGUGACAUUUUUUAAGUCCUUUAGCAUUGUACCGAUUCAGAAUAACUUUUCUCUUAAAUUCUUUUACAUUAAUUGUACUUGUUCUUACUUGAAUUAAGAUUCAUAGUAAUUUGUCUCUUUAAGUCCUUUUACAUUAAUUGUAUUUGUUCUUUACUUGACAUAAAAUCCAAAAUUAACAUAUCAUUCAUCAUUGUAUCAUUCUUUUGUACCCAUUAUUUAACCAUUAGGAUAAUAUUUCAUAAUUUUUUAUUUACUUAAGGUACUUAUAGUAUCUUACAUGUGUAACAAUGAUGAAAAAUUUAACUAGAAUUUGAAUAUAUUUUCUAACAUUAAAGGUUACCUUUUACUUACAAGAUUGAUUUAGGAAGUGCUAUCAUGUUCGUAAUAUUGAAAUUCAUUUGCUUAAUUUGUCAAGAAUAACAUUAACUGGAUUUAUAAACCAUUUAUUACCUCAUCAUUUGAUCAAUAUAUUCUUUCAUACUUGAUAGAUACAUGCCAUUGAGAUAUCUAACUGUUUUACAUAUCUGGACUUGCUCUUAAUUAUGUUUGACAUUAUUUCUUGAAUUUUACAAAUUUUAAUGUGAUUUGUAUGUUGCCUUAAGGGGACAUGUCUUUUAACUCGAUGUUUUUUUAUUCUUGAAUGAAAUAUGCGGUUGAAGAUAUUGAAAAUGCGAUACAUAGGUAUGUUGGAAAAACAACUUAUAUUCAUAAUCAUACCUUUGAAAGAGAAGUUUUCUUUUAUUAUAUGAAUCACAUUUGAAAAUACUUUUGUCUUCUAUUACAUGAGAAUAAAUAAAUAGAGAAAAAGAAGAAAAGGAACUUGAAGAUGAUCUUCUCAUUACUUCUCUUUGAAAACAAAAUGCCCAACAUAUAUACAAGAAAGUAAAACGGCAUAGUUUUGAUAACUUAUUUCGAUACAAACAUAAUAUGAAGAAUCUCCUGAUAUGCCCCCUCAAGAUGGAUUUUUAAGGAUAUAUUUGAGAGCCGUCUUGGAUAGAAGUGGAACCAAUUUCGAUUGAGGCAAUGGUUUAGUAAAAAUAUCGGCUAGUUGAUGUUGAGUUCGAAUGGGCAUAAGUUUGACUCUUUGAUCCAAGAUUUUGUCCCUUAUAAAAUAACAAUCAAUUUCUGUAUGUUCCGUGCGUUCAUGAAAAAUGGGAUUGUAAGCAAGUUGGAUUUUGGAAUUAUUCUCACAUAAUAUCAGCGUAGGUUGUUGUAAAUGAAUGUCAAGAUCACGAAGCAAAUGUCUUAACCAUAUGACUUCACUAGUGACAGAUGCAAGGGUUUGAUAUUCUGCUUCAGUGGAUGAACAUGAUACAAUGGUUUGCUUCUUAGACUUCCAUGAAACUAAAGAGUCUACCAGGAAUACACAAAAACCUGCUAUUGAUCUUCUCGUAUCUAGGCAACCAACCCAAUCAGGAUCACUGAAAUCUUUAAGAUGCAAUGAUUGUUUAGAAGAAAUAAAGGACCUUGUCCUGGGUUACUUUUUAAGAAUCUAACCAAGUGUUGUGAUGCUUGAAAGUGAAGAAUUCUUAGCAUAUAAACAUAUUGGCUCAAGUGACGUAUAGAAUAAGCUAUGGCAGGUCGUGUUAUGGUGAGAUACAUCAAUCUACCAAUCAAUCUACGAAAUUGAGAUAGAAAUUCCAAGAGUUGACCAUUAAAAAUUAACGAUUUAUGUCCUUGGUCCAUAGGAUAUGAUCGAAGUUGGCUUAGCUGCUAAUAUUCCUGAAUCUUUAAGAAAAUCUAAUACAUCCUGUCUUUAUGAAACAAGAAUUCCAUCUGAUGAUCAUGCGAUUUCAAGACCAAGAUAAUGUUUCGAUUUUCCUAAGUCGUUUAAAUGAAAAGUAUUACUCAUACAUGUUUUCAUACCAUUAAUAUUGAACAUAGAUGAGCCCGUUAUCACAAUGUCAUCCACACAUACAAGUAAAGAAACAAAAUCAAUUCCUUGACCAUUUUUUAACAAAGAAUAGUCCUAUUUGGAUUGUUCAAAGCCUUCUGAACUGAGAAAAGUCAAAAACUUUGCGUACCAUUGUUGUGAAGAUUGACAAAGACCAUAUAAAUACUUUUGAAACCUACAAAAACAGUUUAUUGUUGGAUAUAGAAACAUUUGAUGGUUUGUAACCUUAAGGCAAUUGCAUGUAGACUUCUUCGUGGAGUUCACUAUUUAAAAAUGCAUUUGAAAUUGUCACACCCCCUGCCCAGUCUUUGGCUGAAACACCGAGAAGUGUGACGGUAUAAAGAGCGACAAUCCUAUUAACCUGAGAAUACAUGCAUUUUAAAAGUCAAUAUAAUGUUGGUGAGCGUUGCGUUUAAAUGUAUUGUGUCAAAUGUGUAUGCUAGGAUAGUCUUGUUUACCAGUUUCGGCCUGUCCAUUCAUGGUUUUUCGUUCUAGGGUUAGACUAUUUAAUGUGCAUACAUGUAUCAAUUAGGGUUAAUGUUUUGUCGCCCUACCUAGCUCUCACAAAGAAGUUCUUUCUUGAACUCUUCUAGAGCUAUUCAAUCAAAGCAUUCGGCACUAUUUUGAUAUUUGUUCAUGUCAUUCAUUUCUCAUUAUUUAAUAUAGAAUCUAUCGAUCAUAAUUAUUGUUCCCACAAUUGGUAUCAGUGCAGCAGAUAGUGUAAUCGAUUUGCUACUCUUCUAUUGAGUUUUUUAUAGGGUUUUACGUAAUACUUAGAUUUGUUCUUGUAGUCUCAAUCGCUCUUAUCGGUUGUGGACUCUAUAUAGUGUAAUUAAUUUGCUACUCUUCUAUCGAGAUUUUGCUAGGGUUUUACGUAAUACUUAGAUUUGUUCAUGUAGUCUCAAUCGCUCUUAUCGGUUGUGGACUAUAGAUCUAGAUCUCAAGUCUUUCCCUUGAACUCGAUUCAACUUUUUACACGUCUGAUUCUAUAUCUGCUUAAGUGAAUACUUGACAUUAUGAAUAACGAAGAUCCUCAUACUCUCUCGUUCAAUAUUUGUAGUAGUAUUGGAUCCACGACAAGGAUCCCUAUACUCUUUCCUCAAGAUUAUGAAAUGUGUGCUUUGCACUUUGAAGAUUACAUUCUUGGAAUAGAAGAACACAAUACUACUAUAUGGCAUUCAAUGACGCAAGAAACGUUCAUGUAUACCGAUACAAGAGAGUCGAUCAAAACUUUGGAUGAGUAUAAUAAACUCCUUCUUGAAAAUAAAGAUUUUUCUACCAAUGAAAAGAAUAAGCUUAUGGCUAACAUAAAAGCUAUGAGAAUUAUCCGAUUUGCUCUUCUUCUAGAUAUGUUUCGUCUUGUGAGCACAUGUAGUACUGCAAAAGAAAUAUGGGAUAGGCUGAAGGAAAUUUAUUCAAGUGAAGUUGAUUUGAUACAUUCGGUGCAAACAUUACUUUUGUCAGAGUCUGGAGCUUUUGUACAAAAUUUUGAUGAAAAACUAGAUCAAAUGUUUAAUCGAUUGAAUCAUAUGUUGAGCAGAAUGGAAAGCUGUUGUGUCUACUGUGAAGGCACACAAACAAUUCAAAAGCUACUCCUUGGCCAAGCUUGUGGGAAUUUUGAGAUCCCAUGAAGACGAAGUUACGAAGGAUGUGAAGCUUGUUUCUAGUCUUGGUUCACUAACUUUUGUUGCGAAAGGCAAGAAAGCUGCAGAGGAAGAUUUUGAAUCAGAUCUUUCAGAAAGUGAAAUCUCAAAAGAAGACAAAGCUCUUCUGGCGUCCAAUCCCAAGAAUUUCUCUCGUAACAAAAACAAGUUCAAACAAGGUAACUCAAGUUCAGAGAAGACAAGGGAUGAGUUAUUCAAGAACUCAGGAAACGAUGAGGAGAAGAAAGAUAAGAAGUUGUUGGGUGAUUCGGGGUAUGAUUGCAACUACUGCCACGACAAGAAUCACUUUGCCAAGGAAUGCAUGCUUAGUAGGAUGAAUGAAAAGAAAGAAACUGAGAAGGAUGAAGCCUACUGUCUUUAGAAGAUAGAGGAACUAAUAAAAUGGAGUACAUCAAAUGCAAAGUCGGCAUUGAUCAUUCAGGAAGGAAGUGAUGAAGAUGGAAGAGCUGAAGUGUGGUCAACUGACUCCGAAGAUGAUAAGGCCAGAAAAAACACACAUGGCAGAUGCUUUGUGGCAAAGUCAGAACUACAGGAGUAUGAAGGAAAAUGCUUGAUGGUUUAGAAUGGAGGUUCAGAAUGAAUAGGGUAAGCUACGGAUGGUAAUCAAGCUUCUGAAAGCUGCUUUGCUACGAAGAUAGUUUUGGUGCAAGUAAAAGAAUGCGAGAAGGUGGUUGAUAAGGUACAUUCUAUACUCACAUCUCUUAACAUUCAUGUUUCUCGCUAUGACUUUGAACGAGACGAUUUAAAAUAUAUUGUCUCUAAGUUCAGUGAUAGUUUAAAACGAACUCGUCUAAGUAAUUCUAAUUUGACUAUUCAACUAAACAGGGAAACAUUUAAAAGUGAAGAGAUGAGAUUAAGAAUAGAGGCCUUGGAAUUAGAGCUUACCAGGUCACAUGAUGAUGUUAUUUAUCUUAAGAGAAAUAGUCGUCCACUUAUGAAACAAAGGAAUAUUUUCUGUUUAAUAGCUCAAAGUUUAUAUUUCAAUAUUACUCAAUUGCAUCUUGAUUGUGAUAUAGGUAAAUGUUUGCACAAAAUGAUUUUGUCCUUUCUUGAAUUGAAAGAGGAUGAAAUCGAUGCAAAUUGUUACAAGUGUGAAUCCAUUGUUUCUUGUGAUGAUGUUUUUGAUUCUUAUUGUGUUGGACUUGAGAAAAUAGAAGAAUACAUUAAGUCCAAAGAACAUAAAAUAUGUUGAAUGAAAUUUUAAUUGAAAAAGAUAAAGAAGAAAUCAAAUUGACUUUGAUGCAGAAAUAUGACUUGUAAUGCAAGAAGUUGAAUUCAGAAAAUACUCUUGAUUCUGAGAAUACUUUUGAAUUCGAUGAAAGUGAAAUGAGUGAGAUUUAUGUAGAGGAAAAAGUUGAUUGCUCGGAGUUUGUACAAAAUGAUGUUGAACCGAAGAAAAUUUUUAUUUUGAAAAUUCAAUUGAAUUCGUUUGUAUUAUAGAAAAUAAAGAUUCAAGUGUUUUAAAUGAGAAAGCAACAGUUUUCCAAAAGUACAAACUGUUCCGAACCAAGUUUUUAUUAAAACCGGAUUGAACAAAAAUCAUACUUCAGAACUAACGUCUCUGGUUGAUAAUAUAAUGCGAAAGGUUGCAACGAAUUCUUCUGGUUAGGACCAAUCGACAACGCAGAUGAAACAAAAGGUCUUUCCGAAAUGAACUUAUUGAAAACAAAGGGAAAAUACGUUUCAGAAUCAUUGAAUCGUGUUAACCAUUGUUACGAUAAGGUUGAUACAAGUGGUACUAAAGAUAUCCCGAUUAAAACCUCUUCAGAACAAAAUGAUAUGCCAAUCCAAAAGGAAAAACCAAAGUCUAACAUUCAUAAAUUUGCUGCUGAAUUAAUUGAAAAGAAAAGGUAGUUGAAUGCUAGUUAUAGGAAGAAUCUGAAAGAAAGAAAACACUUUUGGAGAAAUCAGAAUUCAAAUCAAAAUUCUGUUAAUUCAAAAAGAGUUUCAAAUCAAAAUAAGAGUUCUUCUCCCAUUCUGAAAUCACAACCAAAAUCCUUUUCAAAACCUCAAAAAUCAACACCACAGGUUUCAAAAUUUAAUUGUUCUCCAAGAACAUAAUUUUCAAAACCUGUCCACACAUCAAAACAUGUUAAGGGAAAAAGUAAAGUUGUUUCAGAACGAGAGAUUUCUCUUCAGGAAUACAAAGCAAAUUUGAAAAAGAAGGAAAAGGCUUUUGUGAAAAAGAUGGCUCAGAAACACAAAGAAUUUAUUCAACGUCAAACAAUUCCUGUUGAAAUGAAUAUUUGCCAUCAUAAAGUGGAAGUCUUCAAAAUCGAAAAAGGGAAGAACCAUGUUUUAAAAAGAAAAUCUUUUUGGGUUGAUAAAACUAAGAUUGUUCCAGUUGUUAAGAAAUCCUCACAAGGACCCAAGAUGGUUUGGGUACCUAAAUCUCUCUAAUUCUUGCAGGUAAUGCGUGACGAACAGUAUGAUUCUGAAUGGUAUAUCGACAGUGGUUGUUCUCGUCACAUGGCAGGAAGGAGGGAAGAACUAUGAGAAUUUAGAUCAUUAAAGGAUGGCGGUUGAGUAAAGUUUGGAAACAACUCUAUCAGAGAAAUAAAAGGCUAUAGAAUGAUAACAAAUGGCGAAUUUUCCAUUCAUAUUGUAGCUUAUGUAGAAGGCCUACAACAUAAUCUAAUAAGUGUUUCGCAAUUGUUUGUAGGUACAGGGCUAAAGGUGUGAUUUAAUGAUGAGGGUUUAGAAAUUAUAGAGAAGAAAUAUAAGGUAGUACUUUUGAAGUCUUAAAGAAAGGGAGAAAUGUAUCCUCUGAAUCUGGAACCUAUCAAAGGGAAGCCAUGCAUUUGCCUUCUUACGAAAUCAUCUUCGGAUGAUAGUUCGCUAUGACACCGAAGACUCUCCCAUCUAAAUUUCAAGGAUAUAAACAAAAUCGUACUAGGUAAUCUUGUACGUGAUCUACCUGUUCUAAAGUUCGACAAGGAACAUAUGUGUGCUGCUUGUGAGCUUGGAAAAAAAAAGGAGGAAGAUUUACUCAACCAUCAUCAGCACUAAGAUUAUUGAGCCACUAGAGUUAAUGCAUAUUGAUCUGUGUGGUCCAUUUUCCAUCGAAAGUAUUGGUGGUAAUAAAUAUAUCUUGGUUGUUUUUGAUGAUUCUUCUUGAUUUACCUGGGUGUUCUUUCAUAAACAGAAAUCAGAUGCCAUUCCGAAGCUGAAAGAUUUCAUCAAGCAGAUCGAGCUUCGAUUACGAAAGCCUAUUUGGAAAGUUUGCAGUGACAAUGGUUCGGAAUUCAAAAACCAAGCCUUUAAAGAAUUCUUAACUAACAAAGGGAUUGCUCAAAACUUCUCUGCUCCUUACAAUCAACAACAAAACGGUGUCGUUGAAAGAUGAAACUAGUCUCUUUAUGAAGCUGCAAGGACAAUGUUAUCAUUUGCGAAUCUUCCUCUCUACUUCUCGGCUGAUGCUAUUGCAACUGCUUGUUUCACGCAGAAAUUAUCAUUCAUGAACAAAAGAAUUUUAAUUACACCUUAUGAUAUUCUGAACAAUAGAAAACCUAACAUAAAAUUCUUUCAUUUGUUUGGUUCUGGGUGUUUUAUAUUUAAUUCUAAAGAACAAAGGAACAAAUUCAAUGUGAAAGUUGAUGAGGGCAUUUUUCUAGGUUAUUCGUUAACUUCAAAAACAUAUAGGGUUCUGAAAAAGAAGUCAAGAAAGAUUGAAGAAACCUAUUAUGUCUCCUUUGAUGAUAAUUAUUUGAAGUAUCAGAAAAUGGAUUGUCAAUCUGAGGACAUCUUUCCAUCAACGAAUCCGAUGACUAUUCCUCUCCUAAAUCUAUAUGAAGAAUUUCUAAUCUAUUUAACGAACCUAAAAAAGCCAUCUCUUCUUAAUCUAAGCCAAAAGACAAUCAAGAGGAUAAACUAAAGAAGAUAGUUGAUGAAGCUACAAAAAAUAUCGAGACUUCUCACGAGUCACCAAUCCCGAAUGCUUAUGAAUUUCCAUCUAAACCAUAACCUUCUGAUGCUUCAUUCCAGGGGGAGCUCAUCUUCGAGUCCCAAUACCGAUGCUCAUUUCCAAGGGGAAGAUCUGAUUACAAACAACGGGUCAAAUGCAAACAUCCAAGGGGAGAAUGAAAAUAACGAUUCUGAUGUGCAAUCAGAAUAUAAGGAAGUUUUUGCCGAAGUCGAUCCAGCCUAUGAUCCAUGUUAUCCUCCUAUGACAAAAUGGAAUAAAAAUUAUCUAAGAUCUCUAGUGAUCGGAGAAUCAGCUUCAGGAUUUCUUACAAGGUCACAACAAAAAGCGAAGCAAACUGCAUUAUUUUUAAAAAUGGAGUUUUGCAUGUUUAAUUCGUUCAUCUCUAAAACUGAGCCUAAAACUGUAAAGAUUGCUCUUGAUCAUUCAGAUUGGGUUCAAGAUAUGCACGAAGAGCUCAAUGAAUUUGAGAGAAACAAAGCAUGGAGACUAGUCCCUACUCUGAAGGAUGCCUCUAUCGUCUUAAUGAAAUGGGUGUUUCGGAACAAAUUAGAUAAGGGAAUGUGAUUCGAAAUAAGGCACGAAUGGUUGUGAAAGGAUACUGCCAAAAGGAAGGUAUAAACUACGAAGAGACAUUUGCACCAGUUGCAAGACUUUAAUCCAUUCGGAUCUUGCUUGCAUAUGCAGCUCACAAAAAUUUUGAAGUUUUUCAAAUGGAUGUGAAGUGUGCAUUUCUAAACAGUGAACUCGGGAAAACGGUCUACAUGGAACAACCACCAGGUUUCGUUAAUGAGAAAUAUCCAAAUCAAUGUUAUAUAUUGAAUAAGGUUGUGUAUGGUCUGAAACAUGCACCUCAUGCAUGGUAUGAAACCCUUACUCAUUUUCUGAAACAAUCAAAAUUUAAACAAGGUUCGGUUGACCCAACCUUCUUUUGUAAGAAAGAUGGUGACCAUUUAAUGAACGUUCAAAUUUUUGUUGACAAUAUCAAUUUCAAAUCCACAAAUCCUAUAUUAACUGCUGAAUUCUAAAAACUGAUGGAAACUAAAUUGAAAUGAUCUCAAUGGGUCCAAUUAACUUUUUCCUUGGUUUAAACAUUAGAUAGAGUUCCGAGGGCAUAUUUAUCAACCAAGAAGCCUACACAAAGGCUUUGCUAGCGAAAUUUGGAAAGGUGGGUGAUUCAAAGGUCAAAGUUUCAAUGGCGUUCGAAACAAUGCUUACACCAUCCUUGGACAAGCCAACAACUUGUAAGGUCCCAAAAUUCAAGACUAAAAAUUUCUUUUAAUAAAGCAUUACUUUAAGCAAAUUCAUCAUUUCAAAACGUAAACAGAGUAUUAGUUUCCAAAAUACAUGUUCGUUAUCAGAGUAAACAUUCCCAGGCUGUCUAAACUAUGGUGUGUGCCAUGCGAUCACCCCGAGCUCUUCCCUCCGCUACCGGAAGUACCUGAAACCAAAACUGAAAACCGUAAGCACGAAGCUUAGCGAGUUCCCCACCUUACCACAUACCAUGCAUAACCACAUACUACACAUACUGGGCCACACCCGCCAUCCUGGGCCUCGCCCGCUACAACGGCACUGCCGCUCCAGGCCCCGCCUACCUUCGAGCCCCGCUCGGAUACAAAUCUGUUUCACUUAGGCCUCGCCUGUCAUAGGGCCUCGCCCACUAACAUAUAAUAGCACGUAAGCAUAUCACAUCACAUCACAUAAUCUAAACACAUACUAACGGAUCUUGUCCUAAGGCCUUGCCUAUCUCUGGGCCCCGCCCUUGUCCUGCUACUGAUGAGUCAUGGAACCCCGUCCAUACUCCUGCUGAUAGUGAGGUACGGGCCCAGCCCACCCUCACUCCUUCCCUAACUUGGGCCUCGCCCCUGAUCUGCUGCUACUGAGAUGUGGAACACCAUCCACACUCUGCUAUUGGUGAGAUACGGGACCUCGCCCACACUCACCUCCCUACCAGGCACAUACAAGUAUCACACAGACAACAAGUAUAAACUAUCACAUAAACCAUUCCUUGGGCACCCGCCCUCUAUCAUUGGACCUCGUCCCGAAUAUCAUACUAGCAUACUGUGCCUAGGGCUAACCCCCGGGUCUUCUACUGAUAACUACAUGGGCCGACAUUGCGGCCGUAGACCCAUUCAUACAAAGGGAAACUCACCUGCACUGGAUGAACUGGCUGAUGAACCCACUAGCUGCUGCCCGGCAACUCUUUGAACUCCCGCUCCACUCGCUCCCCGAGCUACCAAUAUCAAUGCAACACUGAGUCUAACUGACCCCCGACAGACAACCAAGUCAACUCUGGUGUAAGUCAAAGUCCAGGUCAAAGUCAACCUUCCAGGUCAACCCUACUCGCCGAGUCCACCUACUGACUCACCGAGUUCAUAUGCUCCGGGUCCUUCCAUUCGCGACACGACUCGCCGAGUCCAACGAUUUCUGAGUCCUGACCUGUCCAACUCGCUGAGUCUCCACCCGACUCACUGAUUCGAUUCUCAACUCGAAGGGUUUGGGGGUUCCGCAACCUGACUCGCCGAGUCCAAGAACAAACUCACCGAGUCCAGGACAACCUUCAUCCAACUCGUCGAGUUGUUCUUCCAACUCGCCGAGUUCAUGCCCAACUUCAUCCGACUCGACGAGCUAUUCAUCCUACUCGUCGAGUUCCUCCUCAUCUUCAUGAUACUCGCCGAGUCCACUCGAAGGACUCGCCGAGUCCAUUCAAAUCUACAUACAUGCAGAGGACUUUGGAGUCAUGGAUGGACUCCAAACUGUAGAUAUAUCCUUCCCAAGCCUAUUCCUCACGUAAAGUUGCAAACUUUACGUGUAGAGAAGGAGAUCUAGGCACAAUACCCCAUAAACUAGGGUUUAAGGCAAGAAGGAUCCAUAAUCAGCUCAAGGGCAGAUACUUUAUGGGACACUAGACCAAAACAAGCAUGGAUCUGAGGUAGCAACCUCAGAUCUGGACUUCUACCUCGAAAUGGUUACUAUUAUGCCAAGAAUGCCCAACACACACAUAGAUCUAGGUGCAAGGGAGUCCAAGGAUUAGCUUAUUACCUCUAAAAGCUCAGAAAUGUCUUCCCAAUCCCGGAUCUACAGCCCCCUUCUUGCACUCUCAAGAUUCUUCUUCUUUCUCCAAGCUUAAUGCACUCUUCAAGGCAAUAAAUGACUCAAUCAAUGGAUAUGACGGCUAGGGUUGGUAUCUAGGGCUAAAGAGACAGUAAAGGAACCCUAGGAAGAAGAUUAAGACGUUUAUAUAGGCUCCAAGUCCCGAAUUUAGAGUUUUCCACACACAGACCAGACUCGCCGAGUCACCUUGGCCGACUCGCCGAGUCGGUCACUUACUCCUCGACCCGGAUCCCGCUCGGACUCGUCGAGUCUCGCCUUGAAAUUAGGGUUUUCACUCCAUAUCUCCAGAUGAUUGGAUCUUUAAUGUAUCUAACAUCAAGUCGUCCUGGUAUUAUUUUUGUGGUAUGUUAUUGUGCCAGGUUUCAGGCGAAUCCCCAUGAACCACAUAUGAUUGUUGUAAAGAACAUUUUCUGAUAUCUUAAAGGAACCACCUCUCUUAGAAUUUGGUAUCCAUCUAAUUCCAGAUUCUUUGUGCAAGCAUUUUCCAAUGUUAAUCUUAGUGGAUGUGGACUUGAUCGUAAAAGCAUGUUUGGGGGAUGUUAGUUUCUAGACGACAAACUUGUAAAUUGGCAAUCCAAGAAGAAGACUUGUGUUUCUUUGUCCACUACAGAAGUUGAAUACAUUGCAGUUGUAUUUUGCACUUCCAAAGUUGUGUGGAUUCAGAUCAGCUUAGGGACUAUGGGAUCAACAUGAAAAGAAUUCCAUUAUACUGUGAUUCAGAAAGUGCAAUCAGAAUCUGCCAUAAUCCAGUGCAACACUCAAAAACAAAACAUAUUGCACUGAGAAAUCAUUUCAUAAAUGAUCAUGUAGAGGAUGGAAAUGUUGAAAUACACUUUGAUAGAUCCUCUGAUCAACUGGUUGAUAUCUUCACUAUGGCCUUACCUGAAACGACGUUCAACUGAAUUUUACAAGGGCUAGGCAUGAUCAAAGUGGACUCAGUUCUGAAAACCCUUUCAUAAUAAGAAAUUAUUGUUCAUAUUCCGAAUGGUUUCAAGCUUCGGAAUUCAUUUUCAAAAUUCCAAGUGGUUCCGAGCUUCAGAAUGGUUCAGAAUCCACUGUUCAUUAGGGUUUUAGAAUUCUUUUGUAUCCUUUGUAUAUUAAGUAUCUUCCGAUUGAUUUUGAGCUUCGAAAUGGUUUAGAAGUUACUAUUCAUUUGUGCUUAUGAAUUUAUUUUCUUUAAUAUUUUUAGUUUUUUAUUUGUUUUCAGAAAAUCCAAAAUCACAAAAAUAUUUAUUUUUUUAAGAAAAACCAAAAAUAGCAAAUAUAUAUAUAUAUAUAUAUAUAUAUAUANAUAUAUAUAUAUACAUAUUUUGUUUUAUCUUUUUCAGAAAAUCUAAAAUACCAAAAAUAUUUUGCUUUUAAGAUAUAAUCGGUCACUUCUCAAGUACAUAUUAUUCAUUAUCUCAAUUCAGAACGAUGGGGCGGGUAUAAUUUUGAAUCUAUGUACUAGCUAAGUGUCCCUAGAAGCAUGUUACUGCAUGUUGUCCCAAGCCUGUAAGACUCUAUGUUUGAAGCCCUAAUGCAACUUUCAUUCUGAUUGUGUCUUCCUAAUCAGGCUGAUAACUCACAUAAGUUAUCAAGCUACCUUACUCUUCUCACACCGAGUUAAGAGUUGACUGCUUUGUCAUCAAUCUUUAGUAGACGUACACUUUCUUAUUCGGAACCAAUCUCAAAUUUCUCCAUCAACUUCGCAUUCAUAAAUGUAACCCUUGAGACUCUCAGCAAUUACCACUGAGGUUUGUGGCUACACAACUUCUGUGUUGAUGAUCUUGAAAUUGUUAUCACCAUGAUUUUUAGUGAAACCCAAAAUCCGGAACUCAUUUCUGAAUUUACAGUGAAUAAUUACAUGUUCUAGAUUUUUUCACCAAGGAAUUAAUGAAUAAAACCUUUUUGGUUUGUACCCUUAUUGUGUGAAAUCUCAUUUUUUUCCUUUUGAGUGAUCUUAAUGAAAUAUUCUCAACCCAAUACAUUUCUUCCCAUAAGGUCUAGAUUUUUUUUGUGAUUUCCUUAUUAUCCUUCCACUUAAAUAAUUUCCAAAGCAUACUUGUUCUUAUGCCUACACUGGUCAAACAAGUACUUCUCUCAGAUUUUUGGACUUAUGUCAAGUCUCGGAAUUUGGUUGAAGCUUAAUCCACCAUUGCAACCUAAUUAAAAGAAGCCUUUCACUAUUUCUUAUCAAGUAGAUGAUCGUAAUUCAACGGAUUACCACACAAGCACUUCAGAGUCUCUCUUGACUCAGGAGGAAGAGAUCGUUACCCGGGAUUCAUCUGAUUUCAUGUUAAUUUUAUUUGACAUCAUAGAACCCCAUAAAUAUAAUUUGAUUUAAUUCUUUUUCUUUGGCACACUCUUUCAGAAAAAUCUUUAUGAUUUUUCAAAGUCUGGUUCUAAUUUCGAAUGAUUAUUUUUAAUUCAGAGAACAGGUCGUCAUGGAUUGGGUGUUAAUUCCGAAUGAACUGAAACUGAAAUGGCGGAUUUAUUGGGCAUAAUGAUUCAAAUUAGGUGUGUCGUUUUCAAAUCCCUGACAUCAUGCAUGCUAGUUACAUGGGUCUGACACAUGAUGAGCUAUCAUGCCAUCCUAGGCUAUUUUUACAAGAUAAUGGAACGACAAUUGGUGGUUUUCUCUCACCACUCAUCACAUGACGUAUAUAAGGUUCUUCGGCGGUCCGUUUUCUCUCUACUGUUCAUUAUCUUCCCAAACCAUCAAUGAUAGGAUCCUCAGAAACCACUUCAUUCACUGAUCAAUCCACCUUUGUCGUUAUACUGAACAUUAAGCCAAGUCCAAAUCUUAUUCUUGAUCUUGAAUCUUCUCGCUACAAUGAAGUCAUAAGGCUGAUGAUUGAAUGUUUAAGUUUCUCGCCACUGGCUCAAGCUCUAACCAUGGCAGAAUCGGUUCCUCUGAUCCUUCUUUCUAAGGCAUAUUCUGCUGCCACCUACAUUCAAGCUAAUGGAAUCAUUACCUUCAAGGUUACCACUAAUAGGACCUUGAUCAACAAAGCCCUUUUUGCAAAAUUCUAGGGCUUGCUUCAUCUAAGGACUCGUUGAUCCAAAAUCAAUCUCUACUACUGAACUCAUUGAGAUGUUUCACCAGAUGGGAUAUAUUGGCGACGUAUCUAUUUUGUCAAAGUUUAGGAAGCCCUUUCUUCCUCCUGUGUGGAACGAGCUCUUCACUCUUUUGUUCAAGACUUUUUUUUUUCUAAACGUGUUGCUGGAUUUGACAGCGCAAGCAAGCUAUUCUGCACCAUUAUCUACGGUCUAUACCACGACAUCAAUCUUGAUUAUGGUUUGAUUUUGUGGAAACUGCUUAUUUAGAGUACUGCUUCUACCACUCACAAUGUGGAGAUCUCGUGUGCUCGAUUUUGGUGUAUCAUAGUCAAACGUGCCCUAAUUCAUUACAAGGUUGCACUGAUGUCUGAUUCAAUCAAAGAUGUUAUUCUGAUUCUUCAGACUUCGAAUUUUAUGAUGUCUAUCCCAACCGAGUUUGCUUUUGUGGGUUCUAUUCCAAAAGUAAUGUUGGGAAAAGUGCCUUUUGAUAAUGUGAUUCUGAAUGAGUAUUGCAAGCAGCUGACAUCUGGUGUUCGCCCCAUGUCAGAUGAACUUCAGAAAACAAUAUAGGAAGCAAACAAACCGAAGAGCGAAAGAAAGAGAAAAGAGAAAGCUGCUCCUUCCGAAGUGGUAAAAACUCUGAAUAAGGUUAAAAAGCAAGCAAGGAAACCAAGAUCACCAUCUCUGAUGGUUUAGGAGGCUUCAGAAUCUAGAACUCAUAACGACAUUCAGGAUGAUGCUAUUGUUAAGAAUGAAGUAGAAGACACAUUAACAACUUCGGAACUAACUCGAACUGAACCAAUUCCGAAGGUAUCUACUUAUCAUCUAUAAUCAUCACUACCAUUCUGAUUACUUCCAUUCCUCCACUACCACCAAAGAUUUUUUGUGGGAGUUUCUCUUCCACAGAUCUCCAUUCCACUUUCUACACCUAUCUUUACCGAUUUUACUGUUCUUCCUGCUUCAAAAAUCACAAGUACACUAGAAGCCACUGUCACCAAAUCCGUUUCGGAGGAGGUACAUACUUCCGACAUUCAUGUCAAUAUAUUUGAUACGGGGGCAGAAUGCGAACAUUAGUGUGAUAAAGGAACCAACCACUUCUACAACUACUCCUACCUUGGAGUCCGAUCCUGAUAUUCUCUUUGGGAAUGAUCAAGAAAAUUUUGUAGAUUUCGUUUUCAACACUUUCACCAUCAACCAAACCAGUGAUGAUGAUGACCCCACAAUGACACGAUGUCAAUUUAAACAGUUAAUGAGAAAUUGAAUUCUUUGCAAGAGUCUUCGAAAUCCUCAUAUGACUAUGAUUACAUGCUAAAAUCCCAUCAAACUACUAUUGAGAUACUAACGAAGGCAAAUACAAAUGUCCUUAAAGACUCGACCAAGGCAAUUCAAGCUCCAGAGAAAACUAUAUCAGAAACGAUCAAAAAAGUCGAAAAACUACAUGAUGCAAUGACAAAAUUCAUGACUGAAUUCAAAAAGCUCUUUUGAAGAAAAUACCGCAACCGUCAAUAAAUUCAUUGUAGGUCUGGGUUCCACUCUCCAAGCUGAGAAGGAGGCACUUUCUCAUGUCCGUUCUGACAUCAAACUCGACAGAAGUGAAUUGAACGCAUUUGUAGUCUCCAAAAUUGAAAAGCUUCAUCAAGACCUUGCUGCUGAGAAUAAUCUCUUGGAUACAUUGGUGGCAUAGACUAAGAAAGUCAAUGUCCUUUCAGUAAAGUUGUAGUAUACCAACAAGCUUCUGGAUGAUUUAGAAUCUGAGCGAACAAUUGUGAAAAGCUGUGUUUCUAAGAUUAAUCAAUAUCUUCAUAGGCUGGUGGAGACUCGUGACUCCUCACUCACAGUCUCAAUUCGACAACAUCUUUAGAACAAGCUUAAAAAAGAAUUUUCCAUGCUAAAUCAGAUUGAGGUUGUUUCGAAUAGCGAUGCUCUUCCGAAACAAGGGGGAGACAAAGCCAACAAAGAACACAAGGAAGAACCCCAUGCAAAGCAAAUGACUAGUGAACACCAUGAAAAAAACCCAAAGACUGAUGCUCAAAAGGGUAAUGAAGCUUCUGCAUCAAAUAAAGGAAAAGAAAAAGUGGUUGAUAAAGAAGAAGAAGAAGAAGAAGAAGAAGAAGAAGAAGAAGAGCUUUCUGAAGGCGAAAAGCUUGUGAGAAAUAAGCAUGAUAAGGAACCCGAUGAUCUUUUGAUUCUUCGAAAAGAGUUAGAAGAUAAAGAAAAGGAAGCCAAUCUUGCCAGAGUCACUCUUGGAACUCAGAAGUUUCUCUUUCCUCCUUGGACGAUGGAACGAAUUCAGAGGGAAGCAAUUGAUGAUCCGAACAUCCACUGGUCGGAGCCUUUUGUUUCUUUUGAUCUGACUAAUGUAGUGGAUUCUCAACUUGAUUUUCCAAUCACUCCAAGGACUUUUCUGUUUCGAUGUUUUGAGAAGAUUAAGAAGGCACCACUUUCUGACUAUGAUGUUAAGCCUCAAUUCACGACUUGGAGUUCGCAGAAUAUUGUUGCUUUGAAGGUUUAUGCACCUUUCCUGACUGAAAACUUUAUCAACAUAAUUAGAUUUCACUGUUCUUGAUUGUAUCAAAAGAUGAAAAGACUUAUGAGCCUAUCUUUGCACACCUGAGAAGGAUGCUUAUUUGCUACAUUCAUGAAAUUGCGAAAAUGGAUGUAGAAAUAGUAGUUGUUCUGAAGAAAAGGCCGGUUCUGAAGCCUGAAGAAGAAUCGAAGGAUCUCCAUAAGCUAAAUUUGGGUAAAUUUUGAAAGGAAAAUUGGUGUGUUGUGGACCAACGAAAGUAUGGUAAAAAAGUUUAGAAGAACAUGUUCUUAUUUCGAGACAAACAUAUAUACUCAACUGUUGCUUUGAAUUCUAUUCUUGGAUUAACUUUAGGUUUAAAUGUAUUGUGUCAAAUGUAUAACCUAGCAUAGUCUUGGUUACCGGUUUUGGCCAGUCCAUUCACGGUUUUUCAUUCUAGGGUUAGACUAUUUAAUGUGCAUGCAUGUAUAAUUUAGGGUUAACAUUUUUCACCCUACCUAACUCUCAUAGAGAAGCUCUUUCUUGACAUUUCUAAAGUUAUUCAAUCAAAGCAUUUGGCACUAUUUUGAUCUUUGUUCUUGUCAUUCAAUUCUCAUUAUUUAAUAUAGAAUCUAUCGAUCAUAAUUAUUGUUUCGAUAGUGAGUGCACAAGUUUUAGUAUUUUAGAAUUUUGAAUUUCUUUUAAGAAAACUUUUCUUUAGUGAAAACAUUUCUUAAUUAUUUAUUUAGUCUUUAAUCUCUUAAGAUAUUUUUUUUAUUGAUCUUAAAUGACUAUAUUUUCAAGAUAUUUAACGAUCCUAACGUAUUUUAAUUAGGAUUGUCUUUUGUUAAUCCUAAUUUACUAUCUUUCAAGGAUUUCUAAUGAUCCUAACUUAUUUUAAUUAGGAUUGUCUUUUGUUAAUCCUAAUUUACUAUCUUUCUAGGAUUUCUAACAAUCCUAACAUAUUUUAAUUACCAUAUCAUGCGUCCCUAAUGGUAAAUUCAGUUCUAAGGUUAUUUUUAAUAUAUUAACUUUGAGCCCCUAUAAUCGACGCUACGACCAUAAAUGUAGCCCUACUCAUGACGCUUCAUAGGGAUGUCAACGGGGGAAAACGGGGCAGGGAUUGCAUCGNNNNNNNNNNNNNNNNNNNNNNNNNNNNNNNNNNNNNNNNNNNNNNNNNNNNNNNNNNNNNNNNNNNNNNNNNNNNNNNNNNNNNNNNNNNNNNNNNNNNNNNNNNNNNNNNNNNNNNNNNNNNNNNNNNNNNNNNNNNNNNNNNNNNNNNNNNNNNNNNNNNNNNNNNNNNNNNNNNNNNNNNNNNNNNNNNNNNNNNNNNNNNNNNNNNNNNNNNNNNNNNNNNNNNNNNNNNNNNNNNNNNNNNNNNNNNNNNNNNNNNNNNNNNNNNNNNNNNNNNNNNNNNNNNNNNNNNNNNNNNNNNNNNNNNNNNNNNNNNNNNNNNNNNNNNNNNNNNNNNNNNNNNNNNNNNNNNNNNNNNUCCCCAUUCGGGAUCGGGGCCCCAUGGGUUCGGGGUCCCACGGGACUUUUUGACAUCACUAACGCUUCAUCAGACGUUAAAUAAUAAAUUAUAUGGAAGGUAUCCUAUCAGGAUUGUAUCUAGUAAUCGCAUGUGGGGUUGUCAUGGCCCCGUAUAGAUCUAUACAUAACUUCAUAGCUCUCACAAGAUUAAUGAUUAUAGGUAUUGGGGGAUAUGCCGAAUUUAAUCAAGGCUUUUGGACGAAUAACCAACUCACUAACGUAUUAACCUUAUGCUUUUAUCUUUUAUGUUUUAAUCUUUUAUCUUUAUCAUAAUUACCCCUAUACACACACGCACACACACACACACACACACACACAUANNNNNNNNNNNNNNNNNNNNNNNNNNNNNNNNNNNNNNNNNNNNNNNNNNNNNNNNNNNNNNNNNNNNNNNNNNNNNNNNNNNNNNNNNNNNNNNNNNNNNNNNNNNNNNNNNNNNNNNNNNNNNNNNNNNNNNNNNNNNNNNNNNNNNNNNNNNNNNNNNNNNNNNNNNNNNNNNNNNCGGGCACACAACUAGUAUAUAUAUAUAUAUAUAUAUAUGAAAAUUAUAUUUAUGGUCUCAUAAUUAUCUGAUAUAUAUAUAUUGUCAUAUAUAUACUCUAAUUAUGGUUAUUUAACAGGAUAUUUGGGCAACGUAACAACUAAGUACAUUGCAUAUCCUAAAUCUUGUCUGGCAUAACUCCUAGGUAAUUACAGUUUCCUAAGGAUUUGGCCAUUAUAACAUCUAGGUAUUACCUACUCCUAGAAUAUCAAACAUCAUAUCUUUUAGACACAUGUCAUAUCUUAAAUCUAGGCAUAGUAUCUACAGUUAUACUAUCUUAAGGUAUUUUGCUUAUAAUAAAAUGUCUUAAUAUUUAUAAGAUAAAUGUUUUUAUAAAAUCAUUUGUUAAGCAAGUAUUCCCCCCCGAAAACAUUUUAAAACAGUAAAAUAAGGUUCAUGAACUCACUCUAAUUGCGUAUCCAGGCGCGCCCGAACUGUUCCUACCAGAGUUUCUUACCAUUGAGAGGGUACUGAAGUAUAGUGAGAGAGUUUGGAGGUUAAUUUGAGAUGAAAAACUUGGAAGAAAGUACCGCUAUUUAUAGUGAUGGUGCGCGUUGGACAUUCUCCUGUGCAGCGUGCACGUGCUUCGUGGCCCAUCCAAAUCUUUACACGUGUCACCCUUAUGGUGGUCUACGUUUCCAAAUCUCCGAUGAAUUUGGUGUUAGAUGUGUGCGACUGACAUGACACUUACAUUGACACACACCCUUUAAUUCUUUUUAAAAAUUCAUACUUUCUUCAUAUGAACUUUGUUUCUAACCAUCUUUAUAUAUUUGUGUAGCUCUUUCCUAGAACUACAACUUUCCUUUAGGUUGCAUCUUAAAUUUUAACUUUCAAUUUCUACCCACAUUUUUAUAUUUUAUAAAAAUCAUAUCUUCUUCAUACGACUUUCAUUUUUUCCCUUCUUUCUUCCUAAGUUCUUAUCUCAUUCUUUACUACAAAUUUCCUUAUUGUAGUGUUAGCCCAAACUCAACUGUUCUCUUUUUGUUAUUUUUUAUGUCAAUGGCGUUUUUAAUGUGGUUGGUUUCUAUUCGUGAUAAAUCAUAACUCUUCCAAUUAGAGUUAGAUUUUCUCGACACUUUUAAUUUUGGGAUCAUUAGGUCACAUAUUUUGCAAAUACGUUAACCAAUUUAACUUUUUGAUUACUUUAUUUUCGACUCAACUUUCCAUAUUAUCCUUCAAUAUGGGAAGUUUUUUUCUUUAUAAGUCAAACCUAACUCCUCGUAACCAUUAAUGACGGAAAAUUCUCAAUUGUUACAAAAAUAAAGGCCAACCCUAUUGAGAAACAAUUGUAAGUAACACUUUAACAAUGACCAUCUUUGCAACAUGAGAGUAUGUAUCUAAGAAGUCAACAACUUCUUGUUUGGUGAAGCCUUUAGAUACCAAACUCGCAUUAUAACACUCUAUUGAUCCAUCAAAUUUUUGUUUUUAUUUUGAAAAACCAUUUGUUUCCUAGAGCUUUUCGAUUCGGUGGUAAUGAAACAAUGGUUCACGUGCUGUUAAACUAUAAGGCUUUCAAUUCUUUGUCCAUUGCUUCUUGCCACUCUAAAUGUUGUACAGUUUCUUUGUAACUCUUUGUUUGAAUGGAUAAAUCAUAAACAUUUGCUUUAUGUGAAGAAGAAAGUUUUGAAUAAGAAAUGAGAUCGGAUAUGGGGUAUUUCACUGAAGAUUGUUGUUGUUGAACACACUGAGCAAGAGCACAAUGAUAAUCUCUAAGAUAAUUAGGAGAAUGUCUUCAAGGUUUAUUUGAAAGUGUCGAUGAUCUAGUGGAGUACUAGAAUUAUCAACAAAUACAUCCAUGUGUGGCGUCAUCUGGGGUGAUGAACUGAUGUGAUUAUCUAUGAUUCCAGCAUCAAUGGUUUUAGGAGUGACAUGUAGAAUAAAUGGAUUGAUAGGCUUUUCAAUGGAAUAAUGAUGAAAAGGAAAUGUUUCCUCGUGAAAAACAACGUCACGAGAAGUGAAUAUUUGUCUUGUUUCUAAAUCAAGAAGUUUAUAUGUUUUCAUACACUGUAGAUAACCAAGAAAUACUGAAGCCCUUUCCCCUGGUUCAAAUUUUGUUCGAUGGGAAGGUGAAGACAUGAUUAUAGUUUCAUUAUUUGAGAUUCCGCGAUGUUUUCUUUGUAACAAUGAUUUUCGAUUAUGGUUUAUGAACAAAUGGUUUUGUCUUGAUUAUAACUUUAUGAAAAUUGGUGUUUAUUAUAAAUUAAAAUUUGAAGAUUUUAUUCUUCAAAUCAGGAAGUGACAUGGUGCCAUGUUGUUUAGGUCAUGUCAAUGGACCUAACAUCAUCACCCAUAAAAAUACAUUAUAAGUCGCCGAUUCAUUCUUCAACAGGCAUGCAGUCAGAGCCUCGAGCUCCUCCUACGACUUAGUAGCUUAAGGUUUCAUUUUCUAUUAUACUCCCCGAUGGGGGUUCUUUUCACCCUUCCCUCACGGUACUACUUCGCUAUCGGUCACCCAUGAGUAUUUAGCCUUGCAAGGUGAUCCUUGCUGAUUCACAUGGGAUUCCACAUGCCCCAUGCUACUCAAGUCAGAGCAUAAGCUAGUGAUGCUUUCAGCUACUGCACUUUCGUCAUCUAUGGUGCAACAUUCUACUACUUCGCCUAGCAGCACGAUGCUAACAACACAAAUACAAAAAAAAAAAAAAAAAAAAGUACGUUGGCCUCUAAAACGCACACAUUCCAUAAUAGUUCUUUACAUCUCAGAGCUAUGAUUUUGACUAUUUGAUUGCAAAUCAAACAACAAAAUUCAUAAAAAUAACAUGGUUCACGGUAUCCUUAGCAAAGGGCGAAGCCAUUCUUCAUGUCAUCAGUUUUAUUUAGGCUUUUUCUUUUUUGGAUUACAGUUUAUAUACGAGGAUACGAGACAUGUCAAUUUCGGUAUGGGUCACUUGGAAGAGUAUUUAAAAAAAAAGGUUAAUUACUUAAAAGGCAUGUGAGCACCGCCCAAUUGGAUCGCCUAACAACAUAGCCAAGAUCCGAUGACCCUAUUUCAUUACUUGCACCAAACAUAAAGUACUCAAUAUUACCAAAAUGGGUAACGAACAUUAGUUUUUGUCCAUAUUUAAGUAACCAUAUAUUUUGUAUAUUUGUAACCGGUAAACUUGUUGUUCAAUAGGUUUCACAAAUAAACUUGUUUGGCAUGUUGGAUUAGUAAAUAUGUUUGAUAUAUUGGUAAUAAGUUAAUACCAUUGCUAAUUACGAAUAAUAGUACCUUAUCAAAUAAAUUACUAGUAAAAAAAAAUAUAAUUAUGUAAAAAUCCAUAUCCACUAGAAUUUUCUAGUUACUUAUAUUAAAUAAUAAAAAAUCAAAUAAUAUCUUCCACUCGUUUGAACUACGAACUAGUUACGUCUACCAUGACUCCAUCCAUCGUUUCAACUGAAAAAUAGUAGCCAAAUUUAAAACAAAGUACAACUUCUUGUGCAUAUCGUACAAAUGCUGACUACAAUGCUGGCAGGGGUAGGUGAUUUCAUCGCAGUAGUAUUUAUGUGGCCGUUCGCCGACUAACAUUUAGAAACCUAACCUGAAAUCAGGCGUUGCUGAUAGAUUCAGAUCGACGGAAAAUGGCGGAUGAAGUGAAGUUGUAUGCCGUUGCAGGAAGUCCAUUCGUUUGCAGAGCAAAAAUCGCUUUGAAUAUGAAGGGAAUCAAGUACGAAAACUUCGAAGAGGAUAUGAGUAACAGGAGUGCCGAACUUCUCAAGUUUAAUCCUGUUUAUAAGAAAGUACCGGUGCUGGUUCAUAACGGAAAUCCGAUCUCAGAGUCUCUGCUGAUCGUUGAGUACAUUGAUGAAGUGUGGAAAGGAGUUCCGAUUUUGCCUCAGGAUCCUUAUGAGAAGGCUGUUGCUCGAUUUUGGGCCAAAUUCAUUGAUGAUAAGGUAAUAACUAAUAAUUUCCUUCUCCCCUAAUCGCUACUGGUUUUUGUAUACUUAUGUAAUUGUUAGUGGAUGUAUUCACAUGAUUUGAUUUCAGUUGAGUAUUUUGAAAAAAAGAAGGAAAUGAACAGACUGAUGCAUCACAGUCUUUAACACUUUUGUUCCUACAUUGACGAUUACAUUAUAUGUUUUGUUCAGUGCAUUCCUGCAAUAUUCAAGGCUUUUGGCCCCGAUGGAAAUGAACAGAGUGAUGCAGAAGCCAUCGAACAACUACAAAUACUAGAAAAUGAACUGAAAGCCAAAGGUACCAAGUUCUUUGGAGGUGACAACAUUAACCUGGUCGACAUUGCUGCUGAUUUCAUAGCCUAUUGGCUUGGAAUAAUCCAAGAAGCAGCAGAAAAAACGUUGGUAACCAACGACAAGUUUCCAAAAAUAACAGUUUGGGCUGAUGACUUUGUCAACCUUGAACUUGUUAAUCAAGUCUUACCUCCAAGAGAACACCUGCUUGCAUUUUUCAAGAAACGGUUUGGUAAGGCAUAAUGGUAACUGCAGGCAUUUAUAAUUAGUAAAUCUAGUCGCUUUUUACGGUAUGCAUUUU